rnacentral:lncRNA from 1 species
AAAAUAAAAAACUCCGAAAAUCUGCUACUGUAAACACGAGACGUCCUAUAGAAGUUAAAAACCGAGGAUUUCACCUUGUUUGGCAUGUGAAUUAAUUCUUGCCCGAAUGGGUGUCGUUUUGAGUUUGCCUAUUCGGGCACCACGACCACUCAACCUUGAUGACAGAGUAGUGAAUCAGUUAGCAUUUGGGGAUUCAACACCGCAGGAUUUGAGGGAAAGAUGAACUGAGUCAUCGUCUAUGCAUGAGCUUGAAGGCUGUCCUCGGAAUUUUGAAAGACAGAAGAUCCAUAGGGCAUGUAACCAUAGCUAAGCAUGUUCUUGUAGAAAAUUAACACCUUCCAAUCAUUUCCGUUUACUUGUUUAAAGUUUUCGAUAUUGAUUGUAUUAUGAAAUAUAUCUUAUUUUUCAAUAAGAAUUUUCUAGUAUAUUUUUUUCUUAGUAAAAUUCAUAUUUAAGAAAUAAGUAAUUUUUCCUUUAAGUCAUGUUUGGUUUGAAAAAAGGGGAGGAGAGGAAAAGAGUGGAAUGGAGGGGAAUGAAGAAUAAAGGAGUGGAGAAGUAGUGAAAUUAAAUUUCAUUAUUUGGUUUGAUAAGCAGGUGGCGGUUCGGUGACUUUACAACGACGUCCGGCAGAGGUCUGAUGACUUUCUGGCGACGUCCGGCGAAGGUCCGAUGACAAUUAAUUUAUAUUUUUAUAUUUUCAUAUUAAAUAAAUAAGUUUAUUUAUUUUGUUAAGUAUCUUAAAUCAUUUAUUAAAUUUAAUUAAUAUAUAAUUAUUUAUAAUAUUAAAUUAAUAAAAUAAAAUAAUAAAUAAUUAUUAUUAAUGGCAUUAAAUAAGUUAAAAAGUUGAAGGGUAAUUUUGGAAACUUUAGUUUCCAACAUAAGAUGAAUUUAAAUGCUUCACUAUUUGGUGUGGAAUUCAAAUUUUACAUUAUGAUAAAUAUUAAAUUUUAAUAAAAAUUAAAUUCUUAUAAAUUUUGUCCAAUCAAACAAUGGAAAUAAAAAUAGAAUUUAAAUUACUUUUCUUUCCUUCAUUCUCUACUCCCAACUAAACACCACCUUAGAACUUAACUUAUUCAAGGAGGAGUAAAACUAGUAUAAGAAACGAAAUACUUCUUGUACAACAAAUAAUCAUUAUAUAAAGGGAGGUGGAUUCACUUGUUUGUAUAAUACAAUAAUCAAUUCUCUCUAAGUAGACAAUUUUUAGUGUGAGAGAAACGACAUAUCUAUUUAGAGAUUAAGUGUUAUUGGGGUUUUGGGCGUCAGAAAAAAUACUAGAGUAAUUAUAAUAAUUUUUCACAUAAAAGACUUUUCUUGUCGCCCUUUGCAACUGAGGGUUUCUUCCAGUAUAUUUCCAUAUAAAUUCUUAUGUUGUGUGAUUUGUAUUAUUCUCCAUCUAUUUUCUGUUUAUUAUUUAUUUGAUAUUUUUGCUUCUAGGAUCUUAUGUGGAAUUAAAAAUUUCCUAACAAGUGGUAUCAAAGCUAAAGAUUAUUCUACAAAGCAAUUAUGUUUGCAAACAAAUUUUCAAAUCUUGUGAGGAUUGCGGUCAAAAAGUUUGAUGGAAGAAUCAAUUUUGUCUUGUGGCAAAUUUAAUUUAAGGAUGUAUUGAUUCAAUCUGAUCACACAAGGAAAGCCAGUGUGAUAUAAGCCUUAUUCCCAUUGGUGGAAACCAGUGGCGAAGCUAGCAUCAUUUUGUUAGGUGGGCUAGAUUUUUUUUAAAAAUAAAAUUUAUUUCUCCAAAAAUUUAUUUUAUACAAACGAAAUUAAGCACACUACAUAAGCAAAAAUCUAACUUUAAAAUUAUAAAAAUACAAUUUAAAUAAGAAAAAUAUUAUCAAAUAUUAGAUUUAUUUUUAUUUUUUAUAAAUAUUAAUAAAGUAAAAUUUUAAAUUAUAAUUUUUUUUUCAAAAAGCUAACCCGGGCUGCAGCCCGGGUUAGCCUCCCUUUACCUUCGCCACUGCUGCAAAGAAUCUAACCUCACCGAACGAAAGUAUCAAAGUUACUGAUAUAACAAUAGCACCCCAAGCUGGGACCAAGCUAUCAAGAAAGAUGGGAAGGGCCUGAAAUUAAAGGGAAGAAAAAUAUUUCAACCAUGCUUGUUUUCCUUAAUUAAUUAUAUGUUAGGGACCUGUUUAAAACAAUGUGUCUUAAGAACUGAUACCAAAAUCCGAAUUUGUGCAUUUUGAGUAUUUCAAAUUACCACUUCCAUAGUGUGCUCUCCUUAUGGAUUUUACCAUAGUUUUCUAUUAUAUUAUGCACCUGCUGUACGGCCAAGGCGGAUGUACGGUACAGCAGAUCAAAUAUUAGAUUUAUUUUUAUUUUUUAUAAAUAUUAAUAAAGUAAAAUUUUAAAUUAUAAUUUUUUUUUCAAAAAGCUAACCCGGGCUGCAGCCCGGGUUAGCCUCCCUUUACCUUCGCCACUGGUGGAAACCCUUGGAGGUGUGUAGACAAUCAAGACACCUUAAAAGAAAAAAUUGUCGGAAUAGAGCAAGUUCGGCAAAUAGCUCUAAAUUAAUAUAUGGAGAUACUGAUAAUGUUAGCUAGUGGUGUGCCUCUUUUUUUAAUGAGAGAUUAGUUUAUCCUUUUUUCAUGCCAUGAAAGAGGAUGUGUUACUGCUAACGAGUUCACAAGAUUUACACAUAAGGUAUGGUUUGGCAUUUAUGCAAGGUGUGUGGUGAAUUUUUAUAUUGAUAGCUAAGGACUCUCAAGGAAGCCAAACAUGAGAGUGGUAUUUUCAAUAAAGUGAUCGACAUAUACCGAAUAUGUGUACUCUGUAUAAGGUGGAGCAUGAUGAUUCUCAGUGUGGAGAAUUAUGGCUGCUGAAUAAGUACACGAUUUUACCCAUGGUGGAGUGAUUUUCACAAGCCUUAUGUGUGUAGUUUUGGCAAAGUAAAAAAAGUGGAGACAAGGUGGUUGUGUAGAUGUACGGUGAAUCAUGUUUUGUUGCCAUUAAGAUUCCUAUUUAAGGAAUAAGUAAUUUUCAUUUGGGACUUAACAUAUUGAAGGAAAUGUACAACUAGUAGAAGCAAAGAAAUAAUCACUAUAUAUAAGAAGGUUGGGUUCAUUUAUUUAUAUAAACACAACAAUCAGUUCUCUGCAAGUAGAGAGUUUUUAGUGUGAGAGAAAUGACAUGUCUAUUGAGAGAUUGGGUGUUAUUAGGGUUUUGAGUGUGAGAAAAAUACUAGAGUGAAUGUAAUAAUUUUUCAUAUCGUAGAUUUUUCUCUCAUCUUCAUUAGCGAGUGUGGUUUUUCUCCAAUAUAAGAGUUUUUCACGUAAAUUCUUGCAUUGUGUGAUUGAUUUAUUUUCUAUCUAUUUUUCGUUUAUUAUUUAUUUGAUAUUUUUGCUUGUGGGAUCUUGGAUGGGAUUAAUUCCUAAUAGGUUGUAGUUGCAAUUAGGGGUGGGCAUUUGGUUCGGGUCAACCUGAACCCGAACCAAAAUAGAACCCUAUCAGGUUAAAAUAAAAAAUUGAAAAAAUCCCUUAAUAAUAUAACCCUAAUUGCACACAGUCACACACACCAAACAUGCACAAUUACAGUCGCUGCCAAAAACUUCUUUCUCUUCUUCUCUUGCUACGGCUGCCAAAUCCUUCACUUCUCCCUUUUCUUUUGCUGCCGCAGCUGUCAAAUGCCCAAAUCCUUCACUUUUUCUUCUGCUGCUACCAAAUCCUUUACCUUUUCUUGCCAAAUCCUUGUUAAGAUUCAUUCAUUUAUUGUCUAGUCCUGAUUCAUGGCUUCUAGAUGAGAGGCAAUUGUAAUUAAACAAAUUCAAUCCCCAUCGAACCCAAACACACCAUUUUUUAUUCUUUAUCCUCUUACAUAUUCUCCUUACGAUUUAAUCCAAUUUGGCUUCCCCAAAUCCAAGCAGUAGCAAGUCCCUCUACCAUCAACCUUGAAGCCAUCGCCGUUGCAAACAACAAUUUUAAUGUUAGUUAUUUUUUUGGUUAGUUGUUUUAAUUUUUUGGUUAAUUGUUUAUUUAAUUUCUUGUGUUAAUUGUUAAAUAUUCGUAGCUGUUCAUUGGUUAAUUUUUGGAUGGGAUUUAAAAAGAAUAAAUUUUUUGGUUAAUUAAUAAUUUUUUAUGGGAUUUAUGAUAAUAAAUUUGGAGGGUAGGGUUUAUCAGUUAAAUCUAAAUCGAAUUUGUAGCCCGAAUCAAAUCCAACCGAACUGAAAUAAUUUCGGUUCGAGUUACAAAUUCUUACCCGUUUGGGUUGAAUUCUCCAACCCUAAUGGGUUGUAACCCAAACCGAAAAUUAAAAAAAUCGAACCGAAAACCGAAACGCCCACCCCUAGCUGCAAUUCUCAACCCUUUGAUUUUAAUUGGUCCUCCUAGUUUAAAGAAGUCAUUUGUUCAUUUUCUUCGCUUUUGCAUCUUAACAAUAAUCUGAACAACAAAUAUUGCUCUAGUACAUUGUAGAUAUAAUUAUCUAGAGGCCUUUGAAAAAAUAAAUGAUCAAUUUUGUCUCUAUUUUGUGAGGUGUCAUUGAUUACAUUUGUACACAAGCGUCCAUAUAUGAAAACUGAAAAGGCAGCAUAAUGUCACGGGAUAAUUAAUUUAUACAGUAACCUUUGCGGCACUUAGAUAACUUCUAGCAUAAAAGCUACUAAGUAAGCCUAUUGAAUUUCUUGAACUAGCUAAGCAAGAUUGCUUGCCGAAAAUUUAAAGAGAAGCAAGAGCAGUGUAGUGAUUGAGAAUUUUAUUACUCGGAGAUUUACAAGAAUAUUUGAGUUGUGCUUGGUGUGUGGUGUGUGUAAAAUGGCAACUGUCAUGCCCUUUUUAUAAGGGAGGCUUGCCCAUUCUAUAGCUCUCCAUGCAACUUGUGCAACUUACCUAAAAAUCUAGAUACUUACAAGUGCACAUAUGUGUAUAAAACUCUAGAUAUGUACAAGUGCUAGAGUGUGUUGAAAAUUUUGGAAAUCGGGCCAAUCUAGUACACCUUCGCCCGUCUUCGAGCUCUUGGAAUUGGAGAUUUGGGCGGUCUGUUGCUUAGCUCAUCAUGGAUUGCUUCUAAGUGCAUCUCAGAGCACCAAUUUAACCUCCUUCGCUAGGAAAUUUAAGCGACCAGUGACAGUAAGCUAUGUUCCUUGUAGUUACGACUUUUUUGGAAGUUUUGAUACUACUUUCUUUUUUUUUUCUUGUUGGAUCCUUUAUUUUAAAUAUUAAUUUUAUUUACGUCUUCUCUCUAAAUGUCAUAUUUCCUUUUUAUGUUAAUAAUAAAAUUCCCCUUUUUACCCAAAAAAAAAUCAUUGUCAUACUGUUUAAAAGAAUCUUGAAGCGGCAAAAUUAGUGAAAGUAUACACAAGGACGUUAAUUUUCCUAAAACUUUAUGUGAUUUUUAUGAUAAAAUAAAAAUAAUAAUUUAUAUAGAAAAGACAUAAUUACAUUAUGCUAGACAAGUCAUUAGUCAUUAAUCUUAAAUUGUAUUUUAAUUGUUGUACCAAAAAAAUGUAUCGCUAUCUGAUUACUUCAAGUGAUAGCUAAUUAUUAUGUUUUAUCGUUUUUCUGAUUGGUUCAAGUGACAUAUAAUUAUUAACUUUUAUCAUUUUUUAUUCAAAUAGUGAAUUUUUAUUGGUCACACAUCAAUUGAUAUACAAACUAAAUAUUCUAACAAAAUAAAUAUAACAUACCCUUAAUUAUUGAAUAAAAUUUUCCGAAUCUCCACAAAUAUUGUGCUAUUUUGAUGUUGUGUGGAUUUAUCAAAUUAAUUAUUAACUAAUCGCAUUCACUAUUACAACAACUCACUGUGACAAGUGACUCCUUCCGGUUCAUAUUUUAAAUAAAAUCACAUUAUUUUAUGCUCUUGGUGUAGUACACCAACCUAACUAUUGACUUUAUACACUUUGGUACUAAUAUCAAUAGGGUUCGGUUAUGUUGGAGUUCACUUAUGGUGGAGCACGAAUCUCAACCAUACACGUAAAGUGAUAAAUAAUAAAUAAUGAAUUUUUUACUAUUUAUCACUUUACGUGUGUGGUUGAGAUUCGUGUUUCACUGUAGAUGAAUUCUAACGUACCCAUAGCCAUAUCAAUAAUAGGGUAAUGUCGUUUUCCUACCGUUAUGGGUCAAGCGAAAUGAUUUUUAAAUAUUUUGAUUUAUUUAAUUGAUCAUCCAUUCGCUUAGCCCACCUCUUAUUUAAAUAAAUAAAAAAAAAAAGAGAUUGGGAAAAGAGAGUAAUCUCAUUUCCUUGAUGAAGUCGUUGUCUGGGCUUUAAAUUUGCAACUGCAAUGUGUAGUCUCAAAACUUAUUGCGGCGUUGUCCAAGUUUAUUACUGCAUUUUACAAUUAUGAGUCAAGUUAAUUUAUGGCUGUUAGUUUUCUGUCUUUGAAAUAUGCGAACUUUUAUAGUUUAAUUUGCAGCACGUUGGAAGCGCUACAGUUACAUAAGGGCUAGUGUGACUGCAGUAGCAACUGCAAGAGCCAGAUUUUAUUGUAGUAUGAAAUAUUAAUCUAUGAGGGCAACAGAGUGUACAUGUCAUGGAUAGCAGAAGGAAAAGUUAUAGAAUACAUAAUAGAUAAUGCAAUCAAUUAAUUCAUUUAUGACAUGUGUAUCUGAGUUUAUAUAAUCACCAUUUGUAUGCUGAUUCUUUAAAAUAAAUGUAUACAAACUUUAAUAUUAUUUAUUUGUUGUAUAACUAAAAUAGAACGUUAGAGGUAUUUUAAAAUUUCUUGGGCUGGAGAUAAAUAUUUUUUUCUUAUGCAUUAAUUGUUUUCAAUGUUAUUAUUACUUUUUGGACUUUUGUUGGGUUGCAUAAGGUGUAUCUCUUAGCUAGAGAUGUAAUUUCUUUUGUAUGCAUUGAUCGUUUUCAAAUAUUAUUGUCCCUCUUUAGAAUUUUGUUGGGUUGCUUAAGGUGUAUCUCUUAGAUGUUACGUGAAGAUUGAGGCAAUUAAAUAAUGGAUUGAGAUUUUAAAAAAUUAUAGCUAGUUUUUACUUUCCCAGUUGUGCGAUGAAUGCUUGAAAGAAAACUUGUUCAAUGAUUUUCAUAUGUUUUAUGAACCAAAUCAUGCGGCUGGUUAAAUUCUUAGCAAGUGAUAAUCCUUAAUAAUAUUAUACAUGUACUAAUGUAUAUUAUAAGCUUUUGGUUUUUUAGCAACAUAUUAUCCACACUUUUUUUUGCAAAAUAAUGGCGGUUAUUUUGGUGAUUGAAGCAGCUUAUGCUAAUGGUUGGUAACAACUUUGGUUUGAAUCUGAUUUGUUUUGUAGUAGCUAAAUGCUUGAUGAUUUUCACUUUCUUUGGGCUCUUUGUAAUUUGGUGACUUGACUGAUGGUCGAGUUAUAAAUUUUUAUAAUUAGAGCUGGUAAAAUGGGUUAGCGAAUCAUGUUUGUGUUGUGUCAGCUUCAUAUCGUAUCAAAUUUAGGUCAAUCCAAACAAGACCCAUUUAAUAAUCGUGUCAAAAUAUUGAAACCCUACCCAACACCGAAAAUAAACAGAUUACCCAAUAACCGGCUUAAUAUCUAUAUAUUUAACAAAAUUUACAUCAGACAUUUGUACAUUGUAACUAUAUAUAUAUAAUAAAACAUAUGUAUCUGUUGAAAUAUUGCAUAUUUAUACUAUUGAAGUUUUAAGUAUAUAUGUGCAAGUAAUGUUAUAUAUUGAUAUUAUAAAAUAUGCAUGUCCAACAAUAUUUUAUACAUUUACACUAUUAAAGUUCUAAAUCUAUAUAAAAUUUUAUAAAUGAAACACUAUGUAUAUGUUUAUCCUUUCAAAAAAAAAAAACUAAAAAGAGAUAAUCACGUCCAGUAUUUAAGUUUUGAUGAUAAGAAUCUGUAAAUUAAUUUAGAAUAGAAAAUAUAAUAAUGUCAUUGAUCGAGUAAAUGAGUUAAGAACUUCAACCAUAACUCGACAUGGAAAAAAAUUGUGUCGACUUAGAUUGGACCCAUUUAAUAAUCGUGUUAAAUUUGACGAUUUAUACCCAUUUAUUCGUGUCGGUUUGUGUAUGAUAAUCAAAUCGUGUCAAAUUUUACAAAACCCUAAUUUUUAUAUAAAUUUAUUUUAUACAAAUUGUUGAGGUAUGAAUUCAUUAGUUAGAUGAAAAUGUAAAAUAAUAAAAAUUAUCAUGUGCUUAUACCGAAACAAAAGUGUUAAAGCCAUUCAUGAAUAAGAAGUUUUGGCAACCAAAGAGUUUGCUAAGAGAGAGAACUUUGACAAGCUUCUGUGUUCAAUUGAAUUUUGGAAUAUGCGAACCUUCUAUAGUUUUAUUUGCAGCAUGUUGAGAGUGCUACAAUUACACAAGGGCUAAUGUGACUGCAGUCGCAAUCGCAGGAACCAGAUUUUAUUGUAGUAUGAAAUAUUGAAAUAUGUGGGUAACAGAAAGUAUAUGUGAUGCAUAGUUAGAUGAGAAGUUAUACAAUACAUCUAGAAAAUAUAAUCAUAAUUUAUGUAUGAUAAGUGUAUCUGAAUUUUUUACAAUCGUCAAUUGUAUUUGAUUCUUUGAAAUAAAUAUAUAUAAGUUUUAAUAUAAUUUAUUUAUUAUAUAAUUGACAUAAAAUCUCAUAAAUAUUUUAAAAAUUUUCACGUGGGAGAUAUAUUUUUUUAUAGAUUAAUUGUUUUCAAUAUUAUUAUUACUCUUUGGACGUUUAUUGGGUUGCUUUAGGCGUGUCUCUUAGCUAGAGAUAUAAUUUAUUUUUUAUGCAUUAGUUGUUUUUAAUAUUAUUAUUACUGUUUGGACUUUUGUUGGGUUGCUUACGAAGUAUCUUUUAGAUCUUAUGUGAAGAUUGAGGCAAUUAAAUAAUGGAUUGAAAUUUUAAAAAACUCUAGCUAGUUUUUUUCUUUAUUUUAAUACCCUAGCUGUCGGUCGAUGAAUGCUUGAAAGAAAACUUGUUCAAUGAUUUUCAUAUGUUUUAUGAACCAAAUCAUGCAGCUAGUUAAAUUCUUAGUACGUGGUGAUCCUUAAUAAUAUUAUAUAUUUACUAAUGUAUUUUAUAAGCUUUUGGCUAUUUUUAGCAACACAUUAUCCACACGUUUUUUGCCCAAUUAUGGCAGUUAUUAAUUUUGGUGAUUGAACCAGCUUAUGCUAAUGGUUGGUGUUUGGAUCUGAUUUGUUUAGUAGUGGUUCAAUGCUUGAUGAUUUUCACCUUCUUUGGGUUCAUUGUAAUUUGGUGACUUGAUUGAUCAUUGAGUUAUAAAUUUUUAUAUAAAUAUAUUUUGUAAAACUAAUGUGCCAUAAAUUUAUUAGUUAAACGAAAAUCCAAAAUAAUAAAAAUAAUCAUGUGCUUAAAAUGGAACCAAAAGAAAAGUAUUAAAACUAUUCACGAAUAACAAAGUAUAAGCAGCGAGGAGAGAAUAGAAAUAAGUUUGCUAAGAGAGAAAACUUUGACAAGCUUCUGUAUUCAAUCGAAAUUUGGAAUGAAUGCACUAUGAAGAAGCAACAAUCUUAACUAUUCGCAGUGCCGUAUAAUUAUGUACAAUAGCUUAAGACACAGACUCGCAACUUGUCUGUUAUUUUUUCCCCUGGCAAAUUUGAUCUGCAAGUUGUCUUUUUUUUAAUGGUGUUGGUGGAACACCAUCUUGGACUAACAACUGAUCAUUAAAAGAUGCAUUCGGGAGGAGGAGCGUUGGCGUGGUUUUUCAGUUUGACACGGAUACCAUGUAUUUAUCAGACUUUAAAUGUGUGAGUUGACAAAAUAGAGACAAUAUCAACUGCUUUUACUUUUGACAAGUUGAAAUGACAGAGAGAAUGUUAACUGUUUUUACUUUUGACAAGUUGAAAAAAAUAGAGAGAAGAUUAACUGUUUUGACACUGAUUGUCCAUGCAUUGUGAAAAUCGUAUUUACUUACAAUCAUAUCCUUAUCUAAUAUCUCUCAAAUCACUUGUAAUUUAAUUUGAGGUUUUGAACCGGCAUUCAAGCGCCUUCUCUCUUACUGAAGAAAUUACUAUCUUUUAACUUGAGGUUUAAAAUCUGACAUCACGUCAGUGACAUGGAUUUGUUCUUGUUUUUGUUUCUGGUUUUUUUUUUUCUUUUUAAUAUUUUGGUGCUUUUUGUAGUGAAAUUUUUGUUAUAUAAAUCAGAUAUGGAUGAAUAAAUUAUGUAAGUGCUUGUAGUGUUUGAAGUCAAUUUUAGGUAGAGUGGCAUGAACGUGGAGAGCAGGUGCAUGGAAAUUCGCAUACGGACCGCACCUUUAAUUUGAGUCAAUAGAACACUGCAAGAGAAGUUCAGAUAGAGCGUCUCUCUGUAGGACUUGACUAGCUUACAGAAUCUGUAAGCUACAGACUGCAGCAUCAGCCGUUGGAUGUGGUUGGAUGUGGAGUGAGAAACUAAAUAAUAGAAAAUCGGAUGGUGGUUGGAUGUGGAGUGAGAAACUAAAUAGCUACAGACUGCAGCAUCAGCCGUUGGAUGUGGUUGGAUGUGGAGUGAGAAACUAAAUAAUAGAAAAUCGGAUGGUGGGAUGACGGGAGAUGUUUGUUACAGAACCUGUACCAUAGACAGGUCCCUCUCUGUAAUUUGGCUUACCAACACAUGAUACAUGUUCACGAAUAAUUUCCGCAUUGGGCCAAAACCAAAGUAAGUGUGUACGUCUCAGUCUGGGAAGGUAGCGAUCUGGAACGGUCGUCCCCGUGCUUAAAUUUAUGAAGUAGAUUCAGGUGGCCUUAACAAACCUUAGUUUAAUUAUUGAUUGAAGAAGACAAAGCAUGCUUUGAGUCAAAAUGUGGUUGUCCGUUGGAACUUGAGCAUUUUAAUAUUACUUUUCAAUAGAUGAUUAUUAUUAUUGGAUGGCAUUUCUUCAAUGCCGUCGUCAUUGACGUUGACCAAUGUCCCCGCGUCGUUAUCACUUUCUAUUGGGUAUUAAUUGAAGACCACGAUCCUGUACGUUUCAACUGUUUGAUUCCUCAUCCACCGUGUUCAUAUCAGAGGUAAUUGAUUAAUAUAUUAAAAUCUAUAUUUUUUUUUUAUUUUUUACUAGCAUCUUCACUUUACCUCAUUAAAAAAUGAUUCUAUAUACAUACACACACAUACAUAUAUAUGUGUAUAUGUAUGCAUACACAUAUUUUAAGAGUAAAUAUCUACUAAUCAUUUAAAGUUUCACAUUGUAUUAACUUUAGAUUAAUAAGCGUAUGUGUGUGCGCGCAAGUACUUUUAGUAAAAUGUAAAACUUUCAAUGAAUGGUGGAUAUUCCAAAUUACACAAAGAUUACACAUAUCUUGACCAGCCACAACUACAUUUGUUCAAUAUUAUUAAUAAUAGUGUAAGCAAUAGGUAUCGUAUGUCAUUUCAUUUUUCAGUCAUCUUCAUAUGUUUGGCUUUCAAUGAAAUCUAUUAGGGAUUACAAACAACAAAAGUCCAAUAUAUUUAUUUCCCACAUUUUUAUGUUGAGUUUGGUAGUUUGCAUUAAAAUAUAUCUAAUAAUGAUACGAUUUCAUUUGUUGAAACGAUUUCACGUGUUGUAACUCAUAUUUAUGUUAAUUUUAUUUUAUAUCAUAUAAAAAAUGUUAUUUUACUCUUAAAAUUUUAGAUUGAAGUAUAAAAAUGAUAGCAUGGAUCUUUUGAAUAAAUUUUUUAAAUUAUAGGGACCACAAAUAAUUGAUCUAAACUCCAUGGACUACUAGAGAUUUUAUCUUUUUUUUUAAUUAGUUUGUGAAUAUAAUAUUACACUAGAAUAAUGAGAAUACACUAUCAGCUACGGGUCGAUAUUACUAUUUUUAAUUACACUACAUUAUUUUUCAUUAUAACAAACAUUACCUUUAUUUGAGAUGACUCUUUAAAUCAUUAUUAAGGAUGUGUAGCAUUUCUCUCACAGAAUACAAUGUUAGAUCUUAAGCUCUAAAUAUGUGUGGUCAUUGUUUAAGUCUAUAUUUUAUAAAAUGAUAUAAGAAGUACGUAGUUAGGGUUGAAUAAAUUAAGAAUUUUAGAUUUUGAGUCAAUUUAGUGUUUAGUAUUUUAUUAGAAUUUAUCUUAUUUUAUUAAGUUUAUUUGAGUCAUAUUUGUAAAUUUUGGUUUAGUUAGGAUUUUAGAUAACUUCCCUUACUUGAGAAGGAUUAUGAUUAAAUUAGCUAUUAAUAUAUAUAGAUUUGUUAUUCAUAGUUUAUUAUAACACCUUUAAGCUUUUCAUCAAUAAUAUUUUAGAUUAUUCCUUUUUGAGUUUAUUUUCGUCAUUAAUUCGACGUUUUCUCUCUUUGAGAGUACAUUAUCUCUUUUGAGAGUUAUUCUUUCUUUCUUCAAUUUUAAGAACCUACACUAAAACGACAUCUAAUAUCGGUUUCGGAUUGUGUUAUAAAAUGACGUUGGUAUUUAAAAAAAUUAUUUAUUUAUAAACAAUAGAACCUCAAUAAGUUAAUAUUCGAUAAAUUUAUAAUCAUGGUUAACUAAUAGUUUUUAUAACUCUCGACAUAGGGCCAAAAUUGUAAAAUAAUAAUUCAAUAAAUUUAUCACUGUAAUCGUAAUAAUCUUUUUAAGAAAAUCAGUUUUCUUGUAGGACCGACUUGCUAUAUAAAUUAAUAAUUACCUAGUUUGAAACCAAAUUCACAUAAUAUGUCAUGUGGUUUUUGUAAAAUAUUUUGUUAGCAUUGUUUGCUGCUGCUUAAAAUUUAUUUAGAAUUCAAGCUCAUCUCCAAAACUCUUUUGUGAUACAAUUCAAUUUGUAUUGUUGUUUUGCAACAAUUGUGAGACUGACUUCAUAUGUCAUCUUUACUAUAAAAAAAAAUAAAAAAUCAACACUCUAAAAUAAUCUAAUUAUACUACCAAAUACAACUAAUAACUACUAUUUAAAUUAUACAUAAAAUAUACUAAAUCAAUGUAAACAAAUACUAUAAACGUGAUUAUGUUUAUCAAAAGUACAUUUUUUUAAUAUAUAUUAAUAUUUGCUAAAUUAAUAUAUUUUAUAUAAUCUUAAUACUGUUAAUUUAUCAAAAAUUUACAGUACAUAUACAAUUUUUCACUCUACUCUGUUAUCUUCUUUUUCUUCCCACAAUUAAUUUUCUUGUAACUUCGUUAAUGUUGCAUUUGUUUCGUUCCCUAAUGAAUGCAACUUUAAUGGUAUUUCUCAUUAAAAGCCAUCAGCUAGCCUGAUCAGCCGACCACGGACUCAUAUUAGCCAAAGCCAAUAUCUUAUGAUUUGUUUUCUUGAAAGCACGUCAAGGUUAAACAUUGGCGGCUCAAGUCAGCCAUAUUUUUGGUUUUUUUUUUUUUUUCUAAAAAAAAAAAUUGACAAAGUGGCUAAUUGCUGGCAAAAACGUACGAGAAGUUUCACACUAUUUUUAUCAGCAAUUUGUUUUUUUUUUUUUUUUUUUUUUUUCUUUCCCUAUUCCGAAUAUGACUGCUCUGAAUGACUGAAUGAAUAUGGCCCGUUUCUUGGUGAUGGCCAAAGUCAGCCUUCUCUUUAUUAUUUGAGAUCAACAAAGUCAACCAAGGCAUACUAAGGCCGGAAAGCCUAACUCCAAUUAAUAUCAACAAACCCCUCUUGUUUCUUCUUUUUCUUUAAAUUGUAAAUUAUGAAAGAGAUUUUGUCUUCAUUUAAAAAAUUAAGACAUCAUACUAUUUUUUUUUAUUAAUUAAAGAGCCACGUUUUUUUUUCAGUAACAUAUUUUUUUUUCUAAAAUAAUAUUUUAUAAACUAUAGAUUCCUAAGACAAUCUAUUAGAUUGAAAUUUCUUAAAAAAUAAUUUCAACUCAAUACUUUUUUCUUUAUAAUCUUAUAAAAACUCUCUUCCUCUCUUAAUUUUUUUACUACUAUGAUAUACUAUUUUUUUCUUUGUUUAACUCAUUGUUUUUUGUUUAAUAAAAAAUAAGAUUGCUUGGUAGAUCUUAGGAAGCACAAUUACUUGAAAACUACUCCAUUAACUCUACGAACAUAUAGAAAUUCAAUUUCAUUAUUCCAUAAUAAGAACUUCUUUAAGAAUCGUGAGUAUUUAUCAACUUAAUUUCAACGACAACACCAGUCAUGAAUAUAAAAGAUUUUUUUUUCUCUUCCCAAACGUCGGCAACGUAUGACAUUGUCCCUAUUAUUUAUUGAUAUUUCUGCCACAAUGUAUAUAAAAAUAAGAGUAAUGUCAGGCAUCCUAAUAUUUAAGUUAUAAUUUAAAUCCUUAUCGAUGUAGUAUUUAUUCAUUGUAUGAAAGCUAAGUAAUUUAUAAGUUGUGAAAUUUAUCAUUUAAUAAAUGAGGGAUAAAUAAUAUCAAGAUUUUAAUUGGGAUUGAAGGUUAGGAUUCUUUAAAUUAUUAUAAAAAUAAAUACUUUGGUGUACCACGAGGGAAUUCAAUUCUAUUUGAUAAAUGGACUGGGUAGAGUCAAACGUCUAGUAUGAGUAGUUGCAAUAGUGGACGGGACGAGUUAAUAAUUAUUGUGAUGCAUGCCAUCAGAAUAGCCGGCUCAGUGGUUAUUUGAAAUAAUUAAUUUUAUUAAUUGCAUUCUUUAGAUCCGGAAAAGGCAGGGAUAUUACAGACAUAACACCUUGGCGUAAACAACUAUAAAUGGAGAAGCUAUCUUCCACCAUUUAUACACCAAGCCGAGGAACGGAGGUAAUAACAAAUCAGACACCAACUCUUCCUAUUCCAACAUUAUUAGCCUCCAUUUUUCUUUCCAUUCAAUUUUAAUUUGUUUUCAGCUCAAAUGGGCAGCCUCACAUCUGACCAACUCGAUGGCAAUUCAGGUUUAGUCAUUAACCCUCUGGAUCCAGAGGAAUUCAGGAGGCAAGCCCACAUGGUAAUUGACUUCAUUGCUGAUUACUACAAAAAUGUCGACAAAUACCCAGUUCGAAGCCAAGUUGAACCUGGCUAUCUCAGAAAACGCUUGCCAGAAUGCGCCCCGUACAAUCCUGAGUCCAUGGAAACAAUCCUCCAGGAUGUACAAGAACACAUUGUCCCUGGUGUAACGCACUGGCAAAGCCCCAACUACUUCGCUUACUUUCCUUCAAGUGGUAGCAUCGCCGGAUUUCUCGGUGAAAUGCUGAGCUCUGGCUUUAAUGUUGUGGGAUUCAAUUGGAUCUCAUCGCCGGCUGCAACUGAGCUUGAGAAUAUAGUAAUGGAUUGGUUUGGUCAAAUGCUCAAGCUUCCCAAGUCUUUCCUUUUCUCAGGCAAUGGCGGUGGAGUUAUACAGGGAACUACAUGUGAGGCCAUUCUGUGCACACUAACUGCUGCAAGAGAUCGGGUUCUGAAUAAAAUUGGAAGAGAAAAUAUAUCCAAGCUAGUUGUGUAUGGAUCUGAUCAAACUCAUUGUGCCCUCCAGAAAGCUGCCCAGAUUGUCGGAAUCGAUCUCAAGAAUUUCCGAGCUAUUAAGACAACAAAAUCGUCAUCCUAUGGGCUAUCACCAGACUCACUGCUGACACAAAUCAACUUGGAUGUAGAAGCUGGACUGGUCCCAUUAUUCCUAUGUGCCACAAUCGGGACGACUGCAAUCACUGCAGUUGAUCCAUUGAAGCCGCUUUGCGACGUAGCAAAACAAUUUGGCAUAUGGGUCCAUGUGGAUGCAGCAUACGCAGGAAGUGCCUGUAUUUGCCCAGAGUUUCGACAUUUUAUCGAUGGAGUUGAAGGUGCGGACUCGUUUAGUCUCAAUGCACACAAAUGGUUCUUUACAACAUUAGAUUGUUGUUGCCUCUGGGUGAAGGAUCCAAGCGCACUCGUGAGCUCUCUCUCAACAAAUCCUGAGUACUUGAAGAACAAAGCCACGGAGUCCAAGCAAGUGGUGGACUAUAAAGAUUGGCAAAUAACUCUAAGUCGAAGAUUUCGUUCAUUGAAAUUAUGGCUUGUGAUAAGAAACUAUGGGGUGGCAAAUCUAAGGCACUUCCUGCGCAGCCAUGUAAACAUGGCCAAGCUUUUUGAGAGGCUUGUGGCCAGUGAUAAGAGGUUUGAAAUUGUGUUUCCCAGACAAUUUUCCGUGGUGUGUUUCAGGGUUUCUCCAUCGGCAGUCAUGGAUAAACUUAAACCCAAAUACGAAAACUGUCAUUCUCAACAGCUCGUCACAGAGGAGGAAGCAAUAAAUGAGUUCAAUCGAGAAUUAUUGGAGUCCAUAAAUGCAUCUGGGAAAGCCUACAUGACCCACGCCGUUUGUGGAGGAAUAUAUGCCAUGCGAUUCGCCGUUGGUGCUACGUUGACGGAGGAACGACACGUGAUGGUUGCUUGGACCAUGGUGCAAGAGCAAUUGGAGGCAUUUCUAACCACAAAUACACCCUUCAAUUAGCAUCACAGUUCCCAGCCGUUUCAAAUAACCGCCGAUUAUUUCAUUUGUUCAAUUUUGGCGCCUUAGAAUUCUUUUAAAUAAUGUGAUGCUCCAGCUCCUCCUUUCGCAAUCGGACUUUUUCGUCGCCAUGUUGAUAAUCUUCCAAUAUUGUAUUACUUUAAAUAGUUUUCUUUUACCCAAUCUUUUUUCGGUUGUAUCGUACGGCAUGUACUAUAAAAAGUUUUCUUUUCUAAAUUCCCUUAUGGUAACAUGGUGAUUUCAUGGAAAAAGCCUUGUUUUUUCAAUUAAAAAUUUUCUACACCGUCGUGGUUCCCUAACAAUUUUUUUAAAACAUCAAUAAUGAAUAAAUAUAAAGUUGAAGUUUCAAAAAAGGAGGAUAAACGGUAGAAUACCUCAAAUAUAUUACAACUAAGUGAUGCAUGCAUGACAUGUGUAGUUAAAUUUAAUAUAACCACCACUUGUAUGAUGAUUUUUCAAAAUGAAUGCACACAUGUCAUAAUAUUAUUUAUUUAUUGUAUGGUUGACAUGGUACCUCAGAUGUAUUCUAGAAUUUUUCGGAAGGGAGAUACAAUACUAUUAAAUACAAUAACAGUAACUUCUUUUUAUCAAUUUAAAAUUAAAUGUCUUUUACAUUUAUCUAAAAACUGUCUUCAGGAGAAGAUCUCAAGAAGCACUCAAGACUUUUUCUGCCUUUAGACAUAUUUUACUGAUAAUCAAUCAUGUUUUAUUAAGAUUAUGCAUAUACUUUCUUUUUAAAAAAACACAAAAUGUAUAUAUAUGCACACACGAGCUUCUCAUAUGGAUGUUUAAUUGGGCAUAUUUACUAUUAUAUUAUAUGAUGUUAUUGUGUUUUUGUCUAAUUAACUAUUACACUAUAUGGUGUAAUAGCGAAUCUGCAAGAAAUUCCCAUUUAGUAAUUUGGACUUGCGAAUUUCUAAUGAAUGUGUGUGCCUGUGUGUAGAUGUUGGCAAAAGAAAAAAAAGUUAUGGACUUGCACUGUGAUAAUAUAUAAACCUUUAAUACUAUUAGAGUGCUGAAACCUAAAAAAAAAGUUAACAUAAAAGAAUUUUAUAAAAGUGCUGAUUGUAAAUUUACAUUAAGUAAAGAUGAGGACGACGGCUCUUGAGAAUUUAUUGUUUAUAUUUAUACAAAGUAUAUGCACGUAACAAGGAUCUAGGCUGGACGUUCAUAAACUCUUACAAUUCAUGCCUACAUGAUUUUAAUAUUUGGCUCACGUUUACUUUCCUUAAUUCCUUUAGCUUCAAAAAAUAAAAUCAAAGUUAUAAUAUAGCAAAGAAAAAGUAUGGCCAGCUAUUGGAGCCCAAAAUAUGGGCGGAACAAUGUACAGCCCCCCAGGCCGAAAAUAUUUUGAGGGAGAAAUUAAAAAUAGUGAAGAUUACUAGCCCCCACCUUCGUUGCUGUUUCGCUGGUCAGCAAAGGCUGUACAAGUGAAGCCUUUUGCAAUUGGAGAACCACCCACUUUUGUGAUUGCUUGCUCUUGAAGAGAAAGCUGGUAGGCCAUUGUCUGAUCAAUUCAAGUGUACAAGUGAAGAGUUUUUUUAAUCAAUUAGCAAUUAAAAUAUGUAAUCUAUACAAAUGCAAAACUCAUGGUAUGCAACUAAUUUAUCAUUACCAAAUUUUGGCAGUCCCUGACCAAAGCCCUGAUUGUACAGUUGCACCUGAUCGUUCAGAGGAGUAUGCCAGGUAUGUAGGAUCAGUGAAGUUGAAGAAGCAAAGGCACUUCUGAGUUCUGAGGCUUGUUCCAGUAUCGGCAACUACCUCGGUGCACGGCAUUAUGUUUGCAUAGCCUUCAAAUUUCUUUACCAAGCAAGGAGCAAAAAUGAACGGAUCUAUCACACCAAGCUUUGACAUACCCGCAGCUUCUCGUCAAAUUAACCUUCAUCAACCUUACCAUUCUUCUUACCGUUCCCAUCUACGACCGUGUUUUCAUGCCUACAGCAAGAUCCUUCACUGGAAAACCUGCUGGAAUAAUGAUGCUUCAGAGAAUUGGAACCAGGUUGUUUUAAUCUGUCAUAGUGAUGGUCGCUGCAGCUUUAGUUGAUAUGAAGAGGCUUAAAACAGCUAAAGAAUAUAUGGAGUUGUUGAUACACCCAGUGUAACAAUUCCAAUGAGAGCGUGUGGUGGUUGAUUCCUCAGUAUGUCUUGUGGGGUGUUUUUGAAGCAUUCACCAUGGUUCGUCUUCAGGAACUUUAUACAAUCAGGUUCCAACUGAACUAAGGAGCAUUGAUCUUUCAUUCCACUUCAGAGUAUUUUUUUAAAAUCUUAACAAAUUAAUUGGCUUCUUGCUGUGGGAUUAUUUGCGCUGCCUACUUGGAUUUUUCAAAAUCAUACAUUUGUAACAGGCCAAGUGCAAUGUAAAGAGCUGUUUCUUUAGAAAAGAAACUGAAAAAAUCUGCUCCAAUAAAAUAUGUCCUAAGUAGUUUAAAACAGGGGAUCAUUUUACCUUGUUUCACUCAAUAAAUAAAUUUCACACAGCCAUCCCUACUUUUGCCUAAAGUUAAUGGCAAAAGUAUUAACAUUAAAAGUUUAGAACUAGGAAUAACAGCAGAAACAUUUGAUUGAAUUAAUAAUAUAAAUAAAUAAAAAACGUUCGAGUGAGGUGACCUGUAACCUAACACAGAUUAUAUUUGCAUAAAAUAGAAAGAUGACUAUCACAUGUCUCUUUGUUCACCUUAGACAUACCCCAAAAAAAAAGAGUGUGGCACGGCUCAGCUGAGUAUCUGCUUACUUUAUUAAUGGUGUGGAAAUGGCGGGGAGGUUCGCUUUUUAAGGAAUUUCAUCGACCCUUUUAACGUAUCUGAAUGGAGCUCCUCUGCAGCUGUGAACGUAAACACGUGGUCAGGCACGACUCAGCUGCUGCCACUUUUAGGGGCAUUUGUAGCCCCUUUUUUUCUCGGUCGUUACUGGACUAUUGUUAUGGCUUCUCGUCUUUACUUGCUGAUAAAUUUCUUUCUCGGUUCUCUCAACUGCCUGCGGGCUUUGCUUCAUUUUUAUUUCAGAUAUUAGUUAAAUAUUAUGAUUUGCAUAUCAUAUUCUUUAAUGUCUAUCAUCUAUCUGAAUUUCAAGCAAAAUGGAAAGUUCAUCAUCCUUAACUUAUUAUUUGAUUGUAAUUCAGGGACUAAGCUUGUUAACUUUAUCGGCUUUGUUACCUUCGAUUAGCACAAAUAAUUUUGUAUCAUGUUCUCUUAAUCAAUUCCAGGUAAUCUUAUUCUUUUUCUCGCUAUAUCCAGGGGGCCUUGGAGGAUGGGCAUAGACCAUGUGUCCAGGUUUUUCGUGCAGAGCAGUUUGAUGGAGAACACCAAGAAGAAUGCAAACUGAAAAUUUCAUUCUUCAAUUGGAGGUAUUUUCUAAUGUGUUUCGCCUCCAUAUUUACAAAUUUCAUUAUAAGCUACAUUCACACAAUCUUAAUUCUUUUCUUGCUUGGAACUAAAUCUUAUCGAUAUACUCUGGAAAGGGAUGGCAAACGCCUUUCGGAGAAUUGGUAAGGUAUUUGUUGCUGAUAUUAUAAGCUGGAGAAUCACUACGCCUCCUUCCAUUGCUGUUGAAGAGGAAGCUGGUAGAAACUUGUCAGACCAAACUUUUGACCAAUUCAAGCAAGUUUAAACAUCUUUUAAUGUUUUGAUAUAUGUAAAAAUUCACAAGUGCCUACAUAGCUAGUCUUUCCCUUCUUCAAGCAGAACAAAGGAUGCAUUUCUUCAGGUAAAAGCUCGUUAUCAUUAGAAUAUUUUGGUUAAAAAAUAAAAAUAUUAUUUAACUAAUCUAAGAUACGGAAUCUCCACUGGAAGGUUCCUGAACAGAGCCUUGCUUGUAGCAGAUGGUUAAGAGGAAUAUGCCAAGGCGUGCAGUGCAAGUGAAGUUGAGGAAGCAAAGGCAAUUGCUAGGAUUGUUCCAAAAUGGACGGGUUAUUUUUACAUACCUCCCCUGAGGUUUUACCUAAUAUCAAUUUAAUAGAAAAUAUUUUCGUAUUUUUACAUCCCUCCCCUGCAGUUAGUAUUUCCGUCAGUUGACCGUUAGUGGACUAACAAGAGGACAAAAAUACCCUUUCAAGACUGACAGCCUUCUUUCAUCCAACAAAAUCUCAAAUCCCCUGUACCACCACACCAACAAAUCCACAUCUUACCCGUCAAAAGUCAUCUAUCCACCCCCGCAAAUCUGCAUGCCGCCGCGGAGACGGAGGACGAGGUGGAGAGUCGACUCCUUCUGGAUGUUGUAAACCGCCAAGGUGCGCCCGUCCUCGAGCUGCUUUCCGGCGAAGAUCAGCCGCUGCUGGUCUGGUGGAAUCCCUUCCUUGUCCUGGAUCUUAGCCUUGACAUUGUCGAUCAUGUCGGAGCUCUCCACCUCGAGAGUGAUGGUCUUGCCGAUCAAAGUUUUCACAAAGAUCUGCAUCUGUUAAUCGUAAUCAAAGCAAAUAAAUUAAUUUUAAUUAACUAAAUCAACAACACUAAUCAAGACCAGAACAAGGAUAAUGAUUAAGAAUGUAGUUACUAAUUGUUGCUCAAAGGCUUGUUUGGGGUGGAGUUGGGUGUUUCUUGCGCAGGAAAUAUGGUGACCGUGAGGGUGAUAUGAUGAUGAUUAGGCCGGAUUCAAAAACUGUGAUGGCGUUUCAGGGAGUGAGUGCAGCCAUGGCUGGUGGUUUAUCGGCUUUGAUUAUGAUGCCACUUGAUACGAUUAAAACGAGGUUGCAGGUUUUGGAUGGGGAUGAGAAUGGAAAGCGGGGACCGACUGUUGGGCAGACAGUGAGGAGCUUGGUUAAAGAAGGUGGUUGGAUGGCUUGUUACAGAGGGUUGGGUCCAAGGUGGGCAUCCAUGUCUAUAUCUGCAACAACUAUGAUUACUUACGAGUUUUUGAAACGAACCUCCGCCAAGAAUCCAGAGGUUUUGACAUGAAUGAAGAAGAAUUAGAGUAGGCUGCAAUCCUAGGCUGAUGAUAUGGUGGCAUGACUACUUAUUUGCAGAUCAAAUCAUCAAUCUUUAUUAAUCCUGUGAAAUUUUCUCGCAUCUUGUCUAUUUUUUAGCCUCCUACUCUUUCUUUCAUAGCCUGCCUAUCGGAUAUAAUCAAGGUGAAUGAUGGCAGGUGUUUUUCCAUGUAAAUGUAAAUGUAAAUAUUUUCCUCUUCUUCCACUUUAUUUGUUUCCUUUUAUUAUUUUUUAAAAUUGUGUCCAAAACUCCUACUAUUUCUUAAUAUAUCAAGUUUUGAGAGCAAAACCAGUAGGGAUCAUCUUUAUCAGCAUCAAUCUACCAGAAGUUGAGUUUUUAAGAUUCCAUUAAUUAACAAUGGAUCCCACAGGAUUCCAAAGUAAAGAAUAGUCAUUAUUAAAGUGAUGCUACUCUCAUUUUCACGAUUACCCAUACUAGUACAGUGAACUUUUUCAGUUUUUUUUUUUUAAUUUUAAAUGAGCUUUUACGAUUUUAACCUUGUGUACUGAUGAUAUACGUAACUUUACAUUAACUGCAGGGGAGGGAUGUAAAAAUAUGGAGAUACUUUCUAUUAAACUGAUAUUAGGUGAAACCUCAAGGGAGGUAUGUAAAAAUAACCCCAAAAUGGACAACCUUGGUGUAUGCCAUUGUGUUUGCACUGCCUCCAACUUUGUUUACCAAGCAAGGAGCUACUGUGGACCGAUAUGUCACACAAAGUUUUGACAUACCCGCAGAUUCUCUUCAAUCAUUUGUUGGCCUUGCCAUUGCUCUUGUCGUUCCCAUCUAUGACCGAUUUCCGUGCUUAUAGCAAGAUCUUUCACCAGUAAACCUUCUGGCAUUAUGACGCUUCAGAGAAUCGGAAGUGGGGUGUUUUUAUCUGUUGUAGUCAUGGUCAUUACAGCUUUAGUUGAAGAUGAAAAGGCUCAAAACUGCUGAAGAAUAUGGACUUGUUGAUAAAGCCGAAUGUGACAAUUCUUUCCAGUGAGUAUAGAUUGGUUGAUUCCUUGAUAUGUCUUGUUUUGUGUUUCUGAAGCAUUCACCAUGGUUGGUCUGCAAGAAUUUUUCUAUGAUCAUGUUCCCACCGAAAUUAGAAGUCUUGGACUUUCACUCUACCUCAGUACACUUGGUGUUGGAAGCAUUCUGAGCAGCUUUAUCAUAUCUGCCGUUGAGAAAGCAACCGGUGGAGAUGGCCGUGAUAGCUGGUUUGCUAAUACUCUGAACAAGGGGCAUCUUGAUAUUUUUUAGAAAACAUUUACUAAACAGGAAUCUCAAUGGUAAUCGUAAUCAGAAAUAGUAAUUAAAAUAAAUUAUUUAUUUUAACUAUAAAAUUCAGAAUCAGAAUGAAUUAUAUUACUAUUAAUGUGUUUGUUUUAUCUUACAAUUAAAAUUGAAAUCAGGAUUAGUUAUAUUGUUAUAAAUUACUAAAAAAUUCUUAAUUAACUAUUAUUAUUAUUAUUAUUAUUAUUAACAUUAAUAUAUUAAUUAAUUAUGAUACUUUUUUAUCAUUGAUAUACUACUACUAUUAAUAAUAAUAAUAAUUCAUUUUAAUAAUAACAAUAAUAAUAAUAAAAAUCAUCAUCAUCAUCAUAAACAAUGACAAGAUCGCGAUUGCUGCUCGAAAAUGGCCAACUGGAGAUGGCAGCGAUGGUUUGGCAACUGUUGGAUCACAAUGCAUUUGGUUGCGAUUUGCUUUUCUUGAAAAUAAAAUAAAAUAAAAUUCAUGGAAGACAUUUUUGGAAUAUCAAAAUAUUAAAGGAGGCAGAAUCGUUUUUCCUGGGGACCAUUUCCCAAACCCUAUUUUUAUGUGUGCCCCAUCAAUUUAAUUCCGAUUUCAGAAAGUAAGGGCAUCAUCAUUAUUGGCUUCUUGCUGAUAGCGUUUUAGGAUUAUUUGCUUAAAUUUUACAAAACAUACAUAAUAAUGGGGCAACAUAUGGGAUUUGAGUUGUUUAAUGAAAAAACUUUACUUUAAAUUCAAGAUGUAUGGAUGUUGAAGUUCGUAUCUGUUAACUUCUUAUAUUUUUUAAAAUAUAUUAAAAUAUGCUCGGUGUUAAAUCAUUGACACUUCUUUCAUUAUUUUUUAUUUUAUUUUUAUUUUUUUAUAAUAUUAUCUUCUUAAAAUAAUAUUUAUUUUUUUGACAUUAAUAAAAAAAGUUAAUUUUUUUAAAAAUAAAAUAGAAAACUAAUAUUAUUAAUUUUUAUGCAAACUCACGUAUGUCUAAAAAAAUUGAUAUUGUAAAAAAAUUAAAUUAUUAAUUUUUUAAAAAUUAAUAUAUUAACUCCUAUUCUACAAAAAUUAACAUAUAUAUUUCAUUUUAUUUUUGAAUUAUAUUAAUGUGCUUAAAAAAUUAUUGUAAAUUUUUUCCUAAAUUUAAAAUUUAUCAAUAUUUGUUUUCUUUUUGAAAACUUCCUCAACCUUAGUUGCGGCGGAAAAAAUAUACAUAUACAUAUAUAAAGAAGAAAAGUGAAAGUACAAGACCACUCCUCCCCUCACCUCCACCCACCUUACCUUUUUUAAUUUUUAUCGCUUCGCUCCCUGUGGCUUAUGAUGAUGUCUUUAACGAUUAUCUAUAUACAUUUUUAUGGACGGGUGCUGCUCCCCUUAGACAGUUAAAACUUUUUUCUAGAAAAAAAUUACCAAAUUUUAGACUUCAAAGAUACUAAUAAAUAAAAGAACAGAAACCUCGUCAAAAACUAGCUAACAACUUUUUAAUUACCUCUCUUGUCUCAAAAUCACAAAACCUCACAUCACGCGCGGGGUCCUGUCUUCCCUACUCCAUUACCGUUUGAUGUAUCAAUGGACUGUGCUUUUGACUUAUCUGUAGCCCGUUUGGCGUAAGAGUAAGGUACACAUACACCUUAGAUAUAAAUGGAUUGAAAGUGAAAUGAUAAAAAGAACCGCCUGGCUGGUCUUGUUUCCACUUACCAGAGAAAGAUAGAGUAUAAAAUAAAUUAAAAAAAAUAGAGGUAGAGGGUUCAUUUCAUUUCAUAUUCAUUUGUUUAUUCUCUAUCUAAAUUUCAAAAAAAAAAAAAAAAUUAGAGAAAAGGAAGUGUAAACUAAAAGCUAGCAAAUCAGUGGCGAUAAAACAGAUGCAACCGACAGCUGGUGGUAGCAGUAGCUCAAGCGGCGGAGGUGGAGGUGGAGUUGGCGGUCGUGGAGAACUGAGCCGAGGAGGACUCGCUCGGCUCCGGUCAGCUCCAGCUUCGUGGAUAGAUGCACUUUUAGAAGAAGAAUUAGAGGACCCAUUGAAGCCAAACCAGUGCCUGACUCAGCUACUUAGUAGCGGCGAUCCUGUUAGUGUUACUGCUGGGCUGAGCUUGAGUCAGAGUCAGCUGGACCAAGUUGGUUUCCAGCGGCAGAACAGCUCCCCUGCCGAUUUAUUUGAUGGGUACUUUUCAAACUAUGCAACUCCAUCGAGUUACGAUUAUGUCGAUGUUUCUCCUAAUUCCAAUAAGAGAGCUAGGGAAGACAACAAUACACAAUUUCCAUCUCCAACUGCAAAACUGAACUUUCACUCUCACUUGGUAAAUAAGUAUUUUAUUAUUAUUAUUCUUAUUUUUUAAUAUAGUAAUGCACUCUUCUUAUUAUUGGUUUGCAUUGCAGCCUUUUUAUGUUACAUUUUCUACUUGCUUUGUGUUUCUGUUGUUUUUCAAGUCUAUAAAAUGGCAAAAGUUAUACAUAACUAUGUAUCGGCGUUUUUACUUGUUUCAAUUAUAGAUAAGUUGUGGCUGCUAGUUGAAAUUAUAUAUGUUCUAAGGUUCGAAUUCUCCUCACAUCAGGGUGGUAAACGGAUUGGUUUAUGAAAUAUGAAAAUAAAAUGAUUUUUUUUUUUUUUUUAAUGGUUGGUGAAUGUGUCUAUUUAUUUUCCUUUCCCUUUUUCUUCUUCUAAAAAAAUUUGUAUCUUUUGUUUGAUUAAGUCCAGAAUUCACAGCAAAAGGGCUAUGAAGUUAGUCAUCUUUUUUCAGGGAAAAAAUAUUUUAGUUAUUUGGUCAUUUUUGUUUUUGUCCAUGGUAGAAAGUGGAGCAAAGUGGACAGGUACCUGGUGGUGUUUCAAAUUUGGUUGAUAUGGAUAUGGAGAAACUUUUGGAGGAUUCAGUGCCUUGUAGGGUUCGUGCAAAGCGUGGUUGUGCCACUCAUCCUCGAAGUAUUGCCGAGAGGGUAAGAAAACUUCAUUAGCUCAGCUGAAUAAGCAAUAAAAGUAUUUUUAGUAUUGUUCUGAGCUUUUCAUUGUCUUGAUUAGGUUCGUAGGACGCGGAUCAGUGACCGUAUUAGGAAGCUUCAGGAUCUUGUGCCGAACAUGGACAAGGUAAGAUUAGUUAUUUCUUCAUUCCAAACCAAUGAAACAUGGGACUGUUUUCUUGUAUCCUCAGUUACAAUUUAACUUUCUUAUAACAAAAGUAAAAAUAUUGCGGAUUAGAAUAUGCCCUGGGCACAAUUUGGAAUGCUAUAGUUUCCAAACAUUUUUAAUCAUCGGUUCCAUGCCUGACUUUGAUACCAAUUUGUCAUCAGCCCUAGUAAUAGACCUAGGCUCUGGCCGCUUGGAUGGCUCUUUGAAUAUGCCUAUGGUGUUUAUGUUGAAUGCAGUAAAAUGUUUUAGUCAUGUAAAAUAGAGGAAUUUUCGUGGUCGUUUAAAAGCCAUGGAGUGUUUUUCUUGUAUUCUUAGUUUCAAUUUAACUUUCUUGUAACUGUUGUCAAACAAAAAAUGUAACUUUCUCAUAAAAGAAAUUAAAAAAAAAAAUAAUAUUGUAGUUUACAAUAUGUUCGGGGUGUGGUGUUAAAUGCCAUAAUCUCUAAACAUUCCUAUCUUUGCCAGCCGUAGUAAUGGCCACUUGGAUGGAUCUUAGAAUAUGCUUGGGUAUUAUGUCAAAUAUCGUAAAAGGUUUUAUUCUCCAACUUUCAUAUUUGGGGGUCUGGCCAAGUGGUUUCCCAGCAGUUUUAUUUGGGUAACCACCCAAGUUCAAAUCGUAGGGCAGGUAGGUUAAAAACUUGAUUUGGGCUACCCCCUCCCCUUUUGUGAGAUAUGAUGGAGAGGGGGAGAGAGAGAGAGAGAGAGAGAAGGAAACCGUACUAGUUCUAUACUAAUUAGUUACCGGCACCGAUGUUGUGGUCGGACACUUUAUUAAGAUUAAGCCAUCUUGUCAAUUUGAGUUUCCAAAGUCGUCUUCAAUUUGGGAAAUUUCCCUGCAUAUAUGAAUUUCAGUUUUCAAAGAUGUAGGUUUGCGCUGGGAGGAAAUUGAAAGCAAAUUAGACAAAGAAUAGUCAGAUUACUUUGAGAGAAACCACAAUCUCUAAAGAAUGUUAAGUUUUGCAUAAUGAAAAGACAUUUCUUAUUGAUGCAACUCCUUGCUUAUACAGAUAAACAUGCGGCAUAUAACAAGAAAUGUGAACUAAACUCCUUGGAGAUGUAGAUGAACUUCUAAAAUAAUUCACUGGUUCAUAUUUAUCUUGAAAUCUUGAUUUAUUAGAUAAGUUGAACAACAUAAUGUAAUCUAUAGUAGUUUGAGUUCUUUUUGCUUGGCAGAAUUGUCAAUGUUAUUUUCUAAUGGGAGAGAUCUGGUUACUCAUUGUAAUCUUAUUGUGUCAUUUAAUAAAAUUAUUUUUUUUCUCUUUUAUACACACAUUUUGAUAAUUCUCAAGGCCAGUCUCCCUUAUAUUUAGAUCAUUUGCCCCUGAGAUUUAGGCCAUUGGAUAUCAUAGCUGUAUUCUUUCGGAAAAUAAAAGGUCUCAAUUUUUUCUUUUGUAAAUUUUAUUAGCAAAAGUUGGCAUCGAAGAUUCAGAAAUCAUGAUGUGAAAUACCGUGGGUUUCCAUAGGAGGAGAAUUCCACCAAGUAACACCAUCAGGAGAGUCCCGUAAUUACUGUAUAACUUGCUGCCAGGUUGCUUGAGCACAUAAACACCAUGUAAUUGGGUAGACAAUUAAUAGUUCUAAGCUGUCUGGUAGCAUGAAACAGAGUGAUCAGUAAUGAUACAAGAGCAGAGGUUGAAUCACUCUAGCCAAAUAUGGUUCUUACCAUUCUUGUAAGCAAAAUUAUUCUUAUGAAAAGAGAAACCGUAACCAAAUAAAGAUACAAAAAAACAUACCAAGAAACUCUGGGAAAUCUCUAAACAUACUACCGGCUGAGUCAUUUAUACAAUAACAGUUUGUUAUAAUGGAUUUGGUAAAAAUUCCAUCAUCAAUGUGGAGCUUUGUGUGUGAUGUUUCAUCUUGAAAUCCUGAAACCAGAGAAUGACCCAAAUAUUUUUUAUAUUGUUUUGUAGGCAAACUUUGGGAAAAGUUUAUAUAUCUCUGAGCAUUGAGCUCACAAGAUUUGAGUGCACAAUUUUCUAACGUGACAUUAACAUCUUUGUAUUUGCCAGCAAACAAACACCGCUGAUAUGUUAGAGGAGGCAGUAGAAUAUGUCAAGUUUCUUCAAAAGCAAAUUGAGGUACUCCUUAAUGAAAUUUCUUGAAAACUCUCCAUUUGGUGUCUCAGAGACCGGUAUAGAAUUAUAAUUCUAGUCUUGCAACAUUAUUUUCAUUCCAAUAUUAUAAUUUUAUACCCAUUUUCUCCUUUAAAUUGAACAAUUUGAUGCCAAAAGGCAACGUAUGAUAUGAUUGGAAUUAAUAUUUGAUUCUAAUGCGUCAAAAGGAAUAAUUUUGACAUGUUGAAUAUUUUGAGUUAUGGCAGGAACUCACAGAGCAUCAGAGGAGAUGCAAAUGCUCGGCAAAAGAUUAAUCUGAGAAGUUACCAAAUUUGUAACUAUAUAUACAAGGUUAAAGUCCAUCAUGGUUUGUUUGGCGAUAAUAUCCUAUGAUUCCUACCCUCCAAGAGAUCAGCCUCGCAACAACAGGUGGCACAAUCUUUAUCACUAACUAUUCCUCUAUAUUUGGAAGAUUGCCAGUCAUAUGGAACUAUAGCCAUGGCGUUCAUGAUCAGGACUUUUUCAUUUUGGCAAAGAACUGAACUUCAUGCUCUCUGAAGUUCAGUUGGUAUGGCUAUAAAAGUGCUGUACACGAUAAUAAUUUAUUAUCAGUCUCGUUAGCAAGCUUCUUUUUUAUGAAUUAUUUUUUCAAUAUCCCUAUCGAGUAUCCGGAAAUCUGUAUUUCAUAUAUUUGUCCGUGCAAAUCUUAAGACGCGAGUCUCCCACUAUAUCAAUUAAGGCGUGACAGUUAUAACUUCAAAGUUAUAACACUAAAAUAUUUAGUAAAUAUUAAUUGUUAUAAUUUAAAAAUUAUUUUUAUUAUAUAAAUAAAAAAUAUUAUAUUUUUAAGUGGACAGACACCUGUUUUCUCCAAGGGUAUUUUAUUUCUUUUUAUUAAUUAUUAUAAAAAAUAGGAUUUUGUUAGAAAGAAAGUCAAAGCUUUAGGAGCUCUGGAUUCUAGAUCUCUCUUUAUAUUGUGGUCAAGAAUGUGAUAAGGGUGUGUCCAAUGCAAAUAACCUCUUUCUUCAGUUGGAUUUUUUUAAUUUGUGAGACUGCUGUACCGUACAUCCGCCUUGGCCGUACAGCAGUUACUAAAUAUUAUUAAUUUUUGUCGUAUAAUUAAAGUCUUUUUUUCACAACAGUUUAGUUUAAAAAUUAUAGUACUUUAAUACUAAAGAGGACUUAAAUUUUCUGAAAAAAGCUAGAACACCGAGUUAUCUUCCAAGGCAGAGUUUCCUUUGUACAGAGAUUUAGUGAAUAAAUAAAUAAAUUAGUUUGUUCAAAUUCCCACGCAGAUAGCGAUAAAUACAAAAGCAGAGCAUAAUCACUUUAAUUAUUCAGUUUCUUGAUUUAAAGGAUCAGCAACAUUUGAAAUUCAAUCGAUGCAUCUAUACUAGUAAAAAUAACAGUAGUAUUUUUCACAACUAAAAGUGCGUAGAAAAAUAUUUAUCAAUAUUUAUUAAGUUCAAAUAUAAGGUAUUCAUAACAGUAGUAAAAUAUAAAGCCAAUAAUCUUUAUAUAUUGAAAUUGGGUUUUUUGAUAAAAAAUUUUUAUUAUAAAGGUCAGUUUGGGAAUGAUGUAGCUUUUAAAAUAAUUAUUGUUAGCUGUACUGUAAAAAUAAUCAGCUAUAAAAAAAAUCAGUUAAGUAUUUAAUAAAUUUUAUUUUCAAAAGUACUGUGAAUUUUAAAAACAGUUAUGAACGUUUGAUAAAUUCUACUCUUGAAAGAAAUCGAAUAAUUAAAAUAUACAUAAUGUAGAAUAAAAUUUACUUAUACAUAUAAAAUCAUGUACAUAUAAUAUUUUUAAUUAUGUAUUAUAAUAAUUUUUACUAAAAAUAAAAUUUAUAAUAUAUUAUAUUUUUUUAUCUUAAAGCAAUUGAUAAUUAAAUUUAUAAUAUAAUAAAAUAAAUUUAAUAAUAAUUCGAUAAACAAAUUGAUAUUAAUUAAUUUAUAUUGAUGAAUUAUAAUAAAAAUUUAUUAAAAUAUUAAUUUUGUUUCCAAUUUAAAUAAGGAUAAUUUUAAAUUUAUGUAAUAAUUUUAAGAAUAUUUACGGAAUGAUAUUAAAGGAUAAAAUUGAUCCUCAAAAACAGAAUCUAAAAGCUACUUCUUCCUUACUUUUCAAAAUCAACUAUAGAAGAAACUGAUUUUAACAAAAUUGAUUUCAAUUUUGUUUUUUACCAAAUACUAAAAUUAGUUUUUAAAUUUUCAAAAUUACUUUUAAACCUUCUAAAAGCAAUCUCAAACAAGCCCCAAAACAUUUAUGACUUUUUAAACAAGGCUCGCUAAUCUAAUACCUAAACCGAUCACUCCAUAUGGUUUCAUUGGUUUCGUCAAACAAACAUGAUGGUUCCACCACAUAUAACUUUCAGAAGGUUAAGCAUUCAGUGUCGGGAGAGCGAUGUAGAGAACCAUAUUCUAAAAAAGAAAAUGUUGAUACAGGAAACAAGAAAUUGAGAUCUCCAUUGACACACCUCAAAGGAUUGUCCGCAGAGCUGACUUAGACCUAUUCACCAACAGCUACAAAUGGUAUUCCCCUGAAAACAAAGUAAUCAGUGUUUUGAAUCAAAACUUGAAAAGCAGUAGUUAAGGCAAACAAUUCAGCAAAACACAACUUGUGCCGGUGCAAUACUUGUCCACUUGUAUCCCACACUCGUCGUGUUCAACAUUCCCAGCAACACUCAAUUACAGAUUUUAGAAGUCAUAGAGUACUCGCUGCUUACUAAAAGAGAGUACAAAAUAAAGAUGUGAUUAUCCUCAAACACAAAUAAAAAAUACAUGUUCCAGAUAUUGGAAAUAUCUAUGUCCGGAUUCUAAAAUCAUGGGGAAAAAACUAUCACAUGUAAAAAAGGAGCACGGCAUCAAAAUGAAUAUGUUAAAAAGAACAACCAAGCUUACCAGCCACCAUGCCUUGAGAAAUAAUCAUUAUCCAGAGAGAUAGCCAAUGCAACAGCCACAGCUCUCUCUGACAGGGUCAAUGGUCGAGUAACUUCCAAUUCUUGAAUCUGCCCAGGAUUAAAAAAAAAAAGAACAUUAAUAAUAAAAGAAUGAGAAAAGAAGAGACUUCAAUUUCGGUGCUAUGCUUUACCACACUAGCAGGGCCAGUCUUGGAGCUGGGAUCAGCACUCCCAAAUCGAAUCACAUAUUGCCCAGCAUCAGUAAAGAUCUGAUUCCAUUCAAAGCAAAGAAGUCAUUGCAUGCAGUGAAUGCAAUUAAUUCUGUUCAACAGCAACAUUUACUCUUUGUAACAACUAAGGAUUUUCAUACGUUAUUGCUAAACAUAUUGUAAAAAUGAGCUUUAGAUACAUAUGUAUAACCCAGAAGGAUGGAACAAGACUUGUCAAGUCAAAAGGUAGCCUAACAUCAGUCUGCAGAAAUAAGCCAGCAAUAUUUUUCAUCCAAUAUCUCAAAUAAAUCGUAUACUCUGAAGACCGUUUAAAAUAUCAUAGAUAUGGAGUUCUAGCAUUUGAAAUUCUUUUCGUCUCUUUAGCUGUUCCUUUAUUCUGUUUUAAAAUAAUUUAGUUUUGAUUGUGUUCUGUCUUUUUAAUUGUUCCCAAUCUCGCAUAGCAACAGGAUAAUUUAAUAAGCUUGACAGAUAAGAAUCUAGUUUAUGUCAUGCAAUUACUAUAAUAACAAUGUUAUUGUAAAAGCAUACCUAAUGCCAUAAGUAUUUCAAAUAACAUCUAAAUAAUUGCUUGCUCUUGCGUGCAGACAUCAAACAUUUAAAUACACACAUCCAGUCAAAUAGUAGUAUAGUACGUAAAAAUAGGGGUAAAAAUAUCGGGUUGUCAAAGUCGAACUGAGUCACCAAAUGAUGCAACAAGCAAGACCACAAUGGGGGGAAGUUAAAAUCCAAAACCUUGUGUCCUAAAGGUUUAUAAAAAUUAAAAAAUCAUCAUAUACUAAUCCAGAAAUUCAAAUAGAAAAGAAAAGAGGAGUUUUAGAAUCAUUAUCACAUAUGAAGGAGAGAACACAUAUGCUCACAAGUCAAAAUGAAAGUUUGGAGCACAAAACAUCUUAUUAGGAGUGGAGACAACCUCGAAACCAAAACCCCUCCAAUCACGGUCUAUCUGAGCCAGCACUUCCCCAUUUUCAUCCUUCAAAGUAAACGUCCAAUUCCAAAAGCCCGGAUUUUCAACCACAGCAAACUGCUUAUUCCUGCAGAUGAUAUGAUUUAAAGAUUUAACCAUAAAAAUGAAGCAUAAGGUAAAUCAUAAUAAUUAAAACAUCAAUCUCUCUAUAUACUUUUCAACAAAUAUUAUUGAAAACUUAAAAAGUCCGAGCUUUUGAACCUAGUUUGAAACCAGGAUGACUGCUGCCAUUUUUCUUUAUUUAACAAAGGCAAUAAAAGGAAGCACACAAAACAUACGCAUCUAUGAUCACAAACAUAAGAUCCUGAUCUUUCCACUGAUGGGUAGAGUAAGAAAUGAUUAAGAAUUUUAAUAUACAAUGUAGAUAAGAAAUGAUAAAAAAAUAUUUUAUACAAUGUAAAUAAAAAAUGGGCUAGUGUCAAAGUCAGUGUGUGUCUAAUAUUUGAUACCAUAAAGAAUAGCAUUUGGUCAAAUCAAAGUUCCUUAAUUCUUCUGAAAAAGUUAAUAGAUCAGCAUAAUAUAUAUUUAUGGUAACUGGCAUAAAACUGUUAAAAUUAUACCAGUACUUUCACUUUACCUGAAUUCCGUUAAAACUCAAUAGUACACCAAUUCAAGUUAGCAGUAACUUGUUCCGACAUCAAAAUUCAGUCAACAGUUUCCCAAUUCAAGUUAAGAGCCCGAUCAAAAGUUCCGAGUAUAAAAAAUUGGCACUAUAAAGGUCCACCUAGUACCUUGCAUCUCUACUUAACACAAUUGCUUUAUAGAUCCUUUCUAAUCAUCUUGAUUCAACCUACUGACUUUCAAAUACACAUAAUUAAUAUAAAUAUGAUUGAGAAAAUAGCAGCCUGAAUUAAAGUUACCCCAGAUACAAAUCAUAAACCCUCCUCCAAAGAUGCCAUCUUCUGUGAACCACGCCAACUUCCUAGAGGAAGAGAUACUGGAAAUUAUCAAAAACCAAAAAUGCUGUAUGCAUGCUUGCAAUUGCUUAAAGCAUAGCAAUUACUAAGAAGAUGUUAAAUUCACAUACCUUACCAUUAAUUUCUGCAUAAAUUGAGCUAGUUAUCCACCAGAAAGGCCUACGAACCUGGAUGUGGUAAAAUAAAGCCUUAAAGCUGAAAGAGCAAUUUGCCAACCACUAAGCACCAAGCAAAUUGAUCUGCUAACAUAAAAAGAAAUUUGUACAAAGUCCUUACCCUGAAAAGCUCAUUACCCAUGCCGUCAGUUAUGUAAGCGACAAAAGGGCGCCUAAGGCGAAGCAACUGCAAAAUAAUGGACCAGGUUUAGAUCCAUAUAUUAAAGUGAAUCCGUUAUAAGUGGUCGACUGGUACUUCAAUACACUUAUGCAUCCUUUCAACUUAAUCUGCAACUACAGUUUGAAAAGAAACUGUGGGCAUGCUCGAAGAUAAGUGAAACAAUUCCUCAGAAAUUCAAUUUUUAAAUUAGUAUUUCCGGUGGUAAUACCUUGUUGGGUCCGGUGGUAAUACCUUGUUGGGUCCAGGAUUUAAUGAUUUUUUUAAUGGUGGGAGCUGCAACUAGUUGGUGAGUUUUUUACCCAUUACCCUCCAAAGAAAAUGAUUAGGCAUAAGUAUAAAGAAUAUACCUGUCUAGCAAUGACAUUACUCUGCUCACGAAUGAAACCAACAGGCUGGAUAACACAAUUAGCAUCGGCAAUUUUCAUCAGAAUUCAAAUUUACAGAAAGGAGUAAUUUGAUUUAUAACUCAAAUUGCAUAUGUGAAAAUUCACAAAGAUAAGAGGAAAGAGAUCAAAUACUUACUGACUGGGGGUAGCAGACAUCAACUACUGCAUAACGGUUCUCCUAAAACGUCAACAGAUGCAAUUAGCUAUAGGACAAACACAGCCUAGCUAAAUGAAUAAAAAAUAACACAGCCUAGCUAAAUGAAUCAAAAAUAAAACAUAAAAUGCUAAAAAUACAGAAGUUAAAAGAUUGGAAUCCUGAACCAGCCUCAGAUUCUAAGGUUUUUCCAGAUUCUUCUUUCUUUUUCAUCCAGCUUGAUUUGGAUAUGGUCCUUAGUUAAUUCUGUCAUUUUGGGGAUUUCCCUGCAAACCUUUGUCUCAUUUUCACUGAUUAUACUUUAUACAGAGAAUUAACUGAAUAUCUUUUGGUUUUCUUUACAGUACAGAAGAUUUUUGUUAUCGCAGACCACUCAUUCCAUUUUGUAAUCUUUUUCUCUUUACUUCUUCAAUAAAUAUUAUACAUUUCCCAUUCUUUUAAAAAAUUAUAAUAAAAGUUCCACAACCAGAUAAUGGAAGCACUUAUUUCAAUAGUGAACCAUGAGCAAAACUCAAAGCACAGAUCACUGGAACAUCAGGAACAUAAGAACAUGUAACGACUGCCCACCAUAAUCAUAAAUUCACUUUAUCAAAAAGUGGGUAAGUUAUUCAAAUUGGACCACACCUAUCGGGUCAUAUGCAGAAGUAUCUAGGUUGUCAACAGCACUGCCACUUUUAAACCUGACUUAGGACUGUACGUAAAACAGAAUUACAAAUAUAUAAAAUCAACAAUCACCAGUUGCCUCAUGCAGAAAUGUCCCAGAAUCCUCUCUUAACAAGUAUUUUACUAUAAAUACUUUGCUCUGAAAGAACAACUAUAGCAUUUUAAAGACAUUUCACAUCUGAAAUAUGGAUGGGAGAGAGAGAAAAAUGUUACCUGCUCAAAACCAAGCACAAGAUUUGCCCACUCAACAUCCCUCGUAAUAAGCAAAUUGGACCGUGCAAGAAGAGGUGCAACCUGGGCCUAAAAUAAUCCAGAAAUAGCAGAUGAAAAUGUUAAUUUUAGCUGCAAGCCUAAAAAUGUUGAACUUUGAAUAGUAGAAUCAUAUAAGGCAAAUGCAUAAUUUUGCCUAUUUAUGAAUGCGCUCAUGAGAAAACUAUAAGAACACAUACAGUCAUGGAUGCAAGCAGAUGGUGACUAAUGAAGUGAACAGAUUCUUGACCCAUACACCAAGUUUCCAAAGCAUCAUAUGUAUAUGUUGGCUAUUUUUUUGACAAAACAAAGCAAACAGUAAGACAAUCAUUUAAACUAAAGAAUUACCUAUAUGCAGCAUCAAAGCUGCUGGUUCACAACUGAAGUCAACAAAUCACUUUCACAUCAACAUUUGUAAUAACCCAUUACAGAACCAAUAAAGGCAAUAGGGAACAAGUUUAGAAGGUCAUGCACCACAAGUCUGAUCAAGCUGAGAUUUGGGUAGCUGUAAAGCCAAAUGCAUGGCACAAACACUCAAUGGAAGCACCCAUUAAACUUGAGCAUGGCUAAAGCACGCAUUAUCAUAAUAAAUCUCCUUUUUUCCAGCAGAAUAAUGAAAAAUGCAAGAAUGCAGACAUCAAUUCAGGUUAAAGAAUGCUCCAUAAAGACCAUGUGAUUAAAAAAGGAAUCAGUAAGUACUGUUGAAAAUAUCAAUUAAAAAAAAAAGGCUAGUUCGGGUGAGCUGCUUUGUUUAGCUUAUAAGGUAAACAACUUCAUUGUUAUUGACAAAAGCAGACUCCAACAAAGCAUAAAAGUAAUCAAAGAGACUGAAUAAACCUAAAAUAAUUUCUCUAAUUUGAGCUAAUAAUUCCUUCAUGAACAAAAGGUAAAGAGAGAUUUUAGAAUGAAUCAAAAACAUUGUACUGAUUUGACAAAUAUCAACAUGUCAAUGAAUUCGGGGGGGGGGGGGGCGGAAAUCACUCAGUGCAUCUUGCUUUUCUGACUGCAAUUUUGUGAACUUAUUAUCCUACCCAAAUAUCAGUUACUUAUUAGUAUGAGGACACACUACCUAAUUAGUGCAGCCUCAAUAUCCAACAAUACUAAAUUCAACUUUAAUUUAGAAUAUUGAUAGUUGGUAUUAAGAAUACGAAUCCUCCCCAAUGGAAGUCAGAUAAGCUUCCUUUUACUUUUAAGCUCAUGGACUAGAAACCUGGGAGGAGAAAAAAAGAAAUGCAAUGAAACAGGAACAGAAAGAAAACAAUUAACAUGCACCUACAAUCUUAUCCAUGAACGCGUGGUAUGUCAUGUUGAAUAGACACAAACAUAUCAAGCUAGUAUAACCUCUAAACUAUAUACUCUUGAAGAUCAUUAUCUUUGAGGACACAGAGGACCUUAUCAAGGCAUUCCAUAAUUGAAAUUGUUGACGAGACACACAUAUAAAAGAGGCCUUUUUUUCUUUCUUUUUCCAUUUUGACAUGCUCGCACAGAAGGCCUCUUAACCUACCACCAAUAGUUAGGAGAAGCAAUGAAAUUGCUUUCCAAAUGGCUAACUUCAGCUAUUGUAAUGCUACAAUUACUAUAGUGACAGAAGAAAAUCAGAUGCAAUUGGCAAAACAUAAUCACACAAGGAGCUAAAAAGAAGUACUACAAACCAAAGAACCUUAAUAGGUAAAUAUAUAAAUUCAUAAAAUAACAAAUUAAUAGCAAAAUACCUACACAGAUUUACCUCCUCCAGGGAUGCCGGUUCCAGAAAACCAGAGAUAGUCUGGCUAACCGGUGGUUGCCCUAAAAUUGGUUUACCCUUGUCCAAAGGUUUUUCUUCAGUAACAGUUGCACCUGAAAACCAUCUUCCAAAUGGUCGAGGAUCAUAAAUUGAUUCAUCAAUAUUCUUGUACUUAACAACUUUUCUUCUUUUUUCUCUUGAACUUUGCCUUCUCCUAUCACUAAUCCAGAGCUGUACGAGAAAGUCUCUAUUCAAUUGAGCAUCACCUCGAACAUCAUGACCAAAACAUCGUUUUGACUGAAAGAAAUUGCCUUUGUAUCUAUAUACAAGACUUCUUUCUAAGACUGAAUCAGUAAGUCCAUUAGUCCCGAAACUCUCCAGAUGUUGCAACGACAUCUUAGAAAAAUAUUCUGGUUGAAAAACUCCAGGCUUUAGAGUUUUAAAAAUACCAUUAUGUCUAUUAUUUGCAGUGACGGAACAAGAUGAUAAGAUUUUCUCAACCUUGGAAAGAUAGCGUGAUCCCAUCAUCAAAUUCAACCACAAAAUGCCACAGCACUAAAUUCAAUCAAUAAAUGCCUCAGACUGCAUCAGAAAGAGAAAAAUAAAUCAAUUAGAAGGAAGUUUUUAACUCAAACAAAACAAAAAAUGAAUGAAUAUCAUGUCAUAAAAUUUAUAUUUACAACUGUUAGAAUCAAUUGAUUAAUUAAGGGAGUAAUCAUCAUGACAUUAGGUACGACUCAAAGAAAUCCACAAUGGUUGGUUGUCUUAUUCUCAAACACCACCUUCGUUUUAGGCUUAAAUAAUAAACACCAAUUAUACAAAUCUUGGGAAAAAUCAGGACAGCCAGAAACCGAUUACAAUUCACUAUUUCAAUCCUUGUCUUCUAGUAUUUGGUGCCAAUUUUCUUUGAAAAAUGAAUUUCAGUGAGUCUUUAGUCUGUAGAGGCAUUAAAAGUCAACUGUAAACCCCGGAUCCUUAACAAGAUUACACGAAUAUUUAGGGCAUUGCUACAAAUAAAUCUUUUCAAUUGGUAAUAAUCACGAGAGAAGAGUAAAAACUUGCCAGGUAAACCUUUACAAUGUUUCAUUCGCAAAUUGUUGAGAACUAAAAGCCGAAUAAAACGACGAUAGUUCAAUUGCGUAAAGAAUUUCACCGAAAUAUCCAAUUUCUCAGCAUAAAUCAACAACAGAAUAAAAUGAAGAUAUAAAAUAACGGCGAAGCAUUAUAUAACUAAGGAUAUGGAGCAAGGAAAAGCGAUUACCUUUGCCCUUCCCAGUAGCUGAUUGAGAGAAUGAUCGGAAGCAAAAUUGAAUAAUGAGGGAAGUUCUUCGAAAAAUUUAAAAAUAAAAAUUAACUGAGUGAUAAGCAGAGAAAACAGACCAAAACGGCGCCGGUUUUCUACGUUCUCGUUUCAAAGCGUCAUUUUUUUUGGGAUUUUGUUUCAGAGUAUUAAACUCACUAAUUCGGGAAUAAAGUAUUAAUAGAAAAUUGUUUUCGACACAUAUAUCGUAUCAAGUCCCAUAAGCAUGACAAGAGCCCGUUUAAAAGACAAUUCCACAAAAAUUUGAUGGUUUAAUAUAUUGAAUCAGGGCCAAUUCUCACGGUCGUUGGCUCAACUCUUGAGCUAUCUGUUAAAUAAUAGUUAAGAGCCAUGAUCUUAUGGAAUCCACCAAAAGUUGAAAUAAUGAGUGAAAUAAUAUUACUAAGUGAUAUUUUUAUCAUGGUAUUACAUAAGAUAAAUGAAUCAAAAUGAUCUUAUGGAAUCCACUAAAAGUUAAAAUAAUAAGUGAAAUAAUAUUACUAAGUGAUAUUUUUAUUACGGUAUUGCAAAAGAUAAAUGACUCAAAAUUACUUUUACCACUAGAUUGUAUGAGAUUUACGGCUAAAAAAUUUCUUUCAAAAUUAUUAAUAAAAUAGAUUAUUAGUAAGAUAUCUCAAGCAAUAUAAUAUAAACUAUAUUCUUAAAUAAAAUCAAGGUUAUUGGUACAAAUAAUCAUCCACUUUUGAUAUAAACUGUCACAAGCUUGUAAAGGUUUUGUCCGUGUAUAAGAGUGGCAACUUGAGUUAAGACAUGAUUAUUUGACAUGCAAUAAGCGAAUUUGUAUUUGAAAUGUCAUAUUAUGACCAUUUUUAAUUGAUUCAAAUUCAUGUGUGAGCACUAUAAUUUCCCAAUUUGUUCAUGACACAAUUAUUAUUCAAUUCUCCUUAUAUUAAAUCAAUUCAUUUAUGUCUUGAAAUGUCAUAUUAUGACCAUUUUUACGUGUUGGUGUCCUUACUUUUUUAAAUGCGAAUAUAUUGUUAAGUCGUGCAGUUUAAUAAAGUAAUUUUUCAAUACAUUAUCCGUAUAGUUUAAUAGCAUUUUACACUUAUUUUAUUAAACUAUAUAUAUAUAUACACGUUUAAUAAUUUUAUUUAAUUAUUUAUUAAAGAUCCAUUUUCUAUUUAUCGUAUAUAAUUAAUAUAGAUGAGUUUUUAUUUAUUUACGGUAUAGUAUUUAUUAUUUGUCACUUACACAUCUCCAUUUUAUGGUGGCGGUUGGUCAUGCACUCACCUACGUUUAUGUGUGCGUGCGUUUGUAUUGAACACAUCUAAUUAUCCUUUCUAUAUAUACAUAAUUGAUUUGCCUAUUACUUCUUUGAAAUUUCAAUUCUAAACAAUGGGGAGAAGGAGGGUACAGCAUGAAUUGAUUUCAAAGGAAUCUGUCAGGAAAGUGACUUUCAAGAAAAGAAGGGCUGGAUUGAAGAAGAAACUGAGUGAGCUUACCACCCUCUGUGGAGUUACUGCAUGUGCUAUCAUCUGCGCUUCUUUUGACCAUCAACCUGAAAUUUGGCCUUCUCCAGCUGAGGCAGUCCGCGUGCUAGACAAGUUCAACAAUUUCCCUAUCAAAAGAAGAGGUAAAUAUAUGAUGAAUCAAAAUACCUUUCUUAGUAAGAAGAUAUCCAACUUGUUCGAGAGAAUGCGAAAAGAAAGAAAGAAAAAUCGUGGGCUUGAGAUGGAUCUAAUGUUUACUCAAUGCUUGGCUGGUAAAGAUAUGAACAAUUUCGAUUGUUUGGAAGAUCUGAAAGACCUAGAUCAUCUGUUGAAAGAAAAGAUCAAGGUUAUUGCCGAUAAGAUUGAAUGUGAAAUGGGUCUCAAAUCUAUCCCAGCCAAUACUGAUGGUCAUAAUAUACGUCCGACAAAAGGAGGAUAGCAAAUGGACCGACUGCAGAUGAGAGAAACCCAAAUGUGCUACUCCCAUUUUUUUUUUUUUUUUUUAAAUAAAUAAAGAUGCUCUCUUUUCUCGAACAAAUUUAGUUGAAUAUCAAGCACGGUCUUUCAUAUUUAGCAAUUAAUGUUUUUGUGUAGGUUCAGUUCCGAUAUCAUGAUUGAUUUAUUGCUGUUAGUAGUUCUUCAUUUCAGAUGCUCGAAGCCCUGGUCACACUAUGCCUCUACUUGUCUCUUCUUGUUGUGAAUCGUCCGUUUGAUUACAACCCAGUCUUCGUUUAUUUACAGUAUUUCCGAAAAGUAACAUGUAUACAAUCCACAACCCAAACUUCUAUAGCGUGGCCUGUAACAAAAACAUCCUGACCAAAAUUACAUAAAACUUCAUAAACACCCCCGAGAGCACAGCUUCGUAUGAUCAAUAACAAGUCGUGUGAAGGCUCUGACCCAAAUAAACAAGAUGCCAAGUGAGGGACAUCAGAGUGAUUAAGUUUAGGACCGAAGAAUAUGUAUUCAGCGUCUUCAGCCUCCCGCUCAAUUUAACCAUUUUCGUUCGGAGCUCCUCCUGCCCUGGGUUCACCGGGACUGGUGCCGGCCCCUCUGCUCUGCGCUCAGUGGCUGUUCCUUGCUCGGUCUCGGUCACCCUGCUAGUUUCACCAAUUUGGCUCUCUCUCCCUUUCCCUUCUUCUUUCUCAACUUUCAUCCUCUCGAACAUCACCUGCAAGAUACAGUAAUUAUUUGCAUCGAAACACAAAAAGCAAUAACUAUUAACUCGGCAUAAACUAAUUAGUUUCCACUGUUGAGGGCCAGUAGUAUACCUUAGUGGCUAAAGGCUCCAAGUAGAUGGAAUUGAUAAGAACCAUCAAAAUGGAAGCCAAAAGAUUGAAUCCUUGAAACAUUCCAGCCUUGCUUGAGAACAACUGCGGCAUAUGUCCCAACAAAGCCCAGCCAAUACUACAGGCUAUGGCCCUGAAGUAAACAGGGUAUAUCUUGCUUUGCACCAUUCCAAAUUGGUGCCUCGGCAGAGCCCCGGCCAGUACAUAACUGGAUAUGAACGUAACCCACACACUCAUCCCAUAAGCCGUAGAGAAUCCCAGCAGAUUAAUUACACCCAUCAAGGCAUUCAGCGUCUCAGGAAUACCCAAGUAUCUCAAAAAGCCAUAAGAAUACUGACCGAUCCAUUUGGCAGCAUGCUCAGUGCCUUGUCUCGCUUCUUUUGCUUUCUCCUCAACACUCUCACAGACAUUCUCCACUUGCUCGGACACGUUCCUUGCAAUAUCUCCUCUGAUCGUCGUGCCUAUAGCCCUUGCAUCUUUUAGGUUCUCUUUCGCUUCGUAAGCCUUCUGUGACGCAGUGUCUUUGGCUUUCCCUAAUGCAUCUUUUGCAGCCUCUUUGGCCUCAUGAGCCUUCUCUGAAGCAGUGUCUUUGGCUUUCCCUAAUGCAUCUUUUGCAGCCUCUUUGGCCCUAUGAGCCUUCUCUGAAGCAGUCUCCUUGGCUUUACCAUAUGCGUCUCGUACAGCAUCUUUGGCCUCAUGAUCCAUCUGCUUUUUGGUAUCAAUAAACUCGUGCCCUGUCUUUGAUAGAACCUCCUUCGCCUCAUGUGCCAUGCCUUUGUGUGGUGCCGGCACCUCGUGAGAAGCACCGGAGAGACUGCCCUUGGCUUUCUCAAGUGCACCGGCAAUCUUGUGCUUGCAUUUCCCAUAUGCAUCGCAUAUAAGCUCUCCGGGACCAGUACCCUUGUCGUAGGGUUUAGACCCUUGACCAAUAUCCGGAAGCAAGGAGGAGGCUUGUUUGAUGGUGUCCUCGGCGUUGUUUAAAGCAUCAGUAGCAGCGGAGAAUAUUUUUUGCUCAAUAUCUGAAGCAGGGGAAGCAGUCUUGGGGAUGUGAUAUCGGUCAUGGUCUGGUGGUGAGAUUGAUACUUUAGUGUUGUGUCUGCCGUGCUCAUCAUACUCAACAACCACAACUCUGUGCCCUUCUUUCAUCACUAUCACUUCUUCCUUGUUGUUCUCUUUUUCUAGGCUUGGACUUGGAGACCACACUCCUGCUGCCGCCAGUGAACUCGCUACAAGACAUAUUGCAACCAAAUUCAUCAUUUUUGGAUCAAAGUUUGUUUCCGCUGGUGUGCUUCGUCGAUUUGGGAAUUUUAAGGACUUUGGUUUUGGCGGUGUAGCAUGACAUUAGCAUACCCAAGCCGAACGCAGCUUGCCAUGUUGUGCUUGGUCAGCCGACGAGUGUCUUGCUCUGUCACCCCGUGGUGUUAUACGUGGCAACCACUGGGGUCGUUCGAGGCUUUUUGUUCGUUAAAUAAGUCGGGGAUGACUCUCAGAUGUGGCCACGUGGAUUCCCUUAGUUAUAUUUUCUCUCGGGCUGAGCAGGGAAGAUAAGAUCGCGUGGUUGAUGCGUUUGGAAUUUGUCCAAACCAUAGGGCUCUCGCGAUAGUUUCCCUAUCUAGAAUCCUAUUUGGGCUUAACUUUUUUACUUUAGAUACCGAAACCCAAAUCAUGGGCUUCUGUCUAAGCAUUGAAUAUCUUCACUCCAUAAGAUGACUUUGUUGUUUGUUUUGUUUGGUGCCCUGCACUCAAAAGGGUAUGGACUAUUGGACCGUAAUUAAAAUACAAACUCACGUUUGGUAAUAAAACUAAAAUCGCCUGAUUUGAGAAAAGAAAAUGAUCAUUUCAUCCAUAUUCACACAAUUCAAUAAUGCGGCAAACUAAAUACACCAUAGUGUUUAUUUUUCGGAAUGAGACUUUAUGCACCUCAACACGUACACACACCCUUUCAAAAUUAAAAAUUACACGUACCCUUUUUUUAAUUUUUAAUUUUUCAUCCCUUUAUUAUGUUCUCAUCUAAAUUAGUUCACUUAUAAUUGAUAAGUGCAAGAAAGCAAGAAAAUGUUAAUUAUGAUUACAACCUUAUUUUAAGGGUGCGUUUGGGAUUGAGGUUGGGCAACUGUAGCUUCCAAGUUACGGUACUAAAGUGUUUGGUAGACACUAACUGUUGUAACUUAAAAGUUAUGUUAAUGUGGUUUUUCAUAGGGGUGGACAUAUUUUAACCGAACCGAUCCAAACCGACCAUUUGGAUCGGUUUCAUUAGUAAAAUAAUUGGUUUUGAACCGAUCCAAACCGACCAUUUGGAUCGGUUUCAUUAGUAAAAAAAUUGGUUUUGGUUUAUUGGAUUGCAAACCGACAUCACUCGGUUUGGAUUUCGGUUUGGAAGGAUUCCAAACCGAUUCAAACCGAUCCAAUCCAGAAAUAUUAUAUAAUUACAUUAUAUUCUAAGUUAAGCAAUCUAACUAAUUAUAUUUAUCAUUUUUAUGCAGAUUUUGACAAAUCAAAAGUAAUUGGACCAUAAGUUUUGACGGACAAGAUGCACAAUAUUUUAAUUGUCAAAUGUUGUUUAAGUUUAUUUUAAUUUUGUGAAUUUGUUUUGAAUGAACAGGUUAAGAACUUCUUUAUUAGGAUGUAUUAUGUUGUAAACUUGUAUGGAUGUAUCUUUGAAUUGUUAUGUAGAUAUUAAAUUAUAAAUAUAUUUUUUCAAACAAAAAAAAACUUGGUAUUAGGUGAUUUAUUUCUUCAUUAAUUGAAAAUAUAACUUAUUUAUUAAAAAAAUUCAAUUAUAUAUUAAAUUUUAAAGAUAGUUGAGAUUCAUGAUUUAUAAAUAAUUUAAAUUUAAUUAAAUUUAUAGUAGUUCUUUUAUGUAAUUUUCUCUCAUUAGACAAUUAAGAUUGUAAAAAUGGAGUUUUUUUAAAGAUAUUAAAGGGGUGCAAAAAAACAUUAUUGACCAGGGUCUUGAGUCUAUGUUAACCACAUCCGUUGACAUUUGGGAAUGGGUUCAGAAUUCUAUGUGAAUGUUGCCUAUUAGUGAUUAGAUUAUUAACGGGUUUCAGAUGUGUUUGCUUCUGUCGAGCUUGAUCAGUCGCUCAGAAAAAAAUCUUAAAUUUUUAUUAUUUAUUAGUAAUAUUUGCAAUAGCCUAAGUUAUACUUCGGCUGCCGGGCGUCUGAGGUGGAUCAGCUUCACCGACAGGUCAAAUAUUGUUGGUGAUCAUCAAUUGAAUUGAAGGCCAAACUGUAGCUGAAACGUCACUUAAUUUGCAAAUGCCGAAGACGAACCCUGAAUUCCUUCUGGUGGAGACUAGUCCGCCGUUAGCAGCGCGUCUGCGAUACAGAGGAGGAGACAAGACAGCAAGUAGUUACGAUUUGGUGGAGCAGAUGCAUUAUUUAUUCGUGAAUGUGGUUAAGGCAAGAAAUCUUCCUGUAAUGGAUGUUUCAGGGAGCCUUGACCCUUACGUUGAAGUGAAGCUUGGAAACUACAAAGGCAUCGCCAAACACUUGGAGAAGAACCAAAACCCGGUAUGGAAUCAAAUUUUUGCCUUCUCUAAGGAAAGAUUGCAAUCCAAUUUGGUUGAAGUUACUGUCAAAGACAAGGAUAUUGGGAAAGAUGAUUUUGUGGGGAGAGUUACUUUUGAUCUAUUCGAAGUCCCUCAUCGUGUUCCGCCUGAUAGUCCAUUGGCUCCUCAAUGGUAUAGAUUGGAGGACAGAAAGGGUGAUAAAAUUACUCAAGGGGAAAUAAUGCUUGCUGUUUGGAUCGGGACACAAGCUGAUGAGUCUUUUUCUGAGGCUUGGCACUCUGAUGCACACAACAUCAGUCAGACAAAUUUAGCUAACACCAUAUCAAAGGUUUACUUCUCACCCAAGCUUUAUUAUCUUCGGGUUUUUGUAUUUGAAGCACAAGAUCUUGUUCCUUCUGAGGAAGGGCGAGCACCGGAUGCUUAUGUAAAGAUUCAGCUUGGGAAUCUGGUGAGGGUUACCAGGCCUUCGCAUGUGCGAAGUGUUAACCCGGUAUGGAACGAAGAGCAUAUGUUUGUUGCAUCUGAACCGUUUGAGGAUCUGAUUAUUGUGACUGUUGAAGAUAGGAUUGGACCUGGCAAGGAUGAGAUUUUAGGAAGAGAAUUCAUACCAGUUAGAAAUGUGCCACAAAGACAUGAGACCACUAAGCUCCCAGAUCCUCGAUGGUUUAACCUUCACAAACCUUCGUUGUCAGCAGAGGAAGGUGCUGAAAAGAAAUUCUUGAGCUUGGCAUUUUGAGUGCAAAGAAGUUGAUGCCAAUGAAGAGCAAGGAUGGUAAACUGACUGAUGCAUAUUGCGUGGCCAAGUACGGGAACAAAUGGAUUCGAACCAGAACAAUCCUUGACACACUGGAUCCUAGAUGGAAUGAGCAGUAUACUUGGGAAGUUUAUGAUCCGUGUACUGUAAUCACAAUUGGAGUAUUUGACAAUUGCCACGUCAAUGGAAGCAAAGAUGACGCGAUUGAUCAGAGAAUCGGAAAGGUGAGAAUUCGAUUAUCAACUUUGGAAACCGAUCGUCUAUACACCCAUUACUAUCCCUUGUUGGUACUCACGCCUUCUGGUUUGAAGAAAAAUGGGGAACUUCAUUUGGCUUUAAGGUUUACGUGUACAGCUUGGGUAAGCAUGGUGACAAAAUAUGGAAUGCCGUUGCUUCCCAAAAUGCAUUAUGUCCAACCAAUACCUGUUAUACUCAUUGAUAGGCUACGGCAUCAAGCAAUGCAGAUAGUUGCGGCAAGGCUGGGAAGAGCAGAGCCACCCCUGAGGCGCGAGGUAGUGGAGUAUAUGCUGGAUGUGGAUUACCAUAUGUGGAGUUUGAGGAAAAGCAAAGCCAAUUUUCAAAGAAUUAUGGAACUUUUUUCAGCUAUUUGUAGAUGGUUCAAUGACAUAUGCACAUGGAGAAACCCAGUGGAAACAGUCCUUCUUCAUGUAUUGUUCUUGAUACUCGUUUUCUACCCUGAGUUGAUACUGCCAACAAUUUUCCUGUACCUCUUCUUAAUUGGGAUGUGGAACUAUCGGUUCAGGCCAAGGCACCCACCUCAAGUGGAUGCUAAGCUCUCGCAAGCAAUAAAUGCACACCUAGAUGAGCUAGUCAAAGAAUUUGAUACGUCAGAUGAGCUAGAUGAAGAAUUUGAUUCGUUUCCAACAUCACGACCGUCAGACACCGUCAGGAUGAGAUAUGAAAGGCUACGCAGUGUGGGAGGUCAGUUGCAGACAGUGGUUGGAGAUUUGGCCUCGCAAUGCGAAAGAGUUCAAGCGAUCCUCUGCUGGCGUGAUCUAAGAGCUACGUUUAUCUUUCUCAUCUUCUCAUUUAUUUGGGCAGUGUUUAGUUAUGUUACUCCAUUCCAAGUGGUGGCAGUUCUGAUUGGCCUUUACAUGCUGCGCCAUCCCCGGUUCAGGAGCAAGAUGCCUUCAGUGCCUGUCAAUUUCUUCAAAAGUUUUCCGUCCAAGUCAGAUAUGCUCAUAUAAGAUGGAAACUUUCUCAGUACAUUCAUUCUUGUAGAUGUAAGGAAAAAUCCUUCCACGAAAUAAAUCCAUCAAAAUCAUAGCAGCGGACGGAAAAAUAACAUCGGCGAUGCUCUUCCUCCCCUACCCGCAAAAGCAUUUCAUCCCAGCAUUUUCUCAGACCCCAUCAAUCUUCUUUCGCUUUAUAUCUACGUGUAUUUAUGCAGCUUGUAUGCACUUCUAUUGUGGUACUUUACUAUCUAAGUAGUAAGAUCACCUAAUAAAAGAAUAGCUUGCCAGUAUUAAGCAAUUCGAAAUUUUUUUGUAAAUAAUAUAUAAAUAUCAAACAAAAAACAAGGCAAUUAAGAUCAUAGAAAAUGAAUAGCAGCAUCAACCAUGUGAAAUCACGCCAUCCAUGGAGAUCAAUUUUAUCAGUGAACUUAUAUUCAAAAUUGGUUACACACACGCUUCAUAAAACAACUCCAUACAAGAAAGUUACAUUUAUUUAUAUUCAAAAAAAAAAAUUCAUUUGGUUGACAAUGUUCUAAAUCCUAUGUUUAUAAGCAGGGCUACAAUUAUCAAGAAACUAACAAGCAUUCCACCCAGAAGAGCCCUAUCCACAACACCCCACUCGCCCGUAUUCCCUCCCAUCCAUACCUACUUUUACUUGGAUCCCAAGGCAAAAUCAUUUUCCACUCCUUUCAACUGGUUCUUCCGCUUCCUUAGCAACCAUCCAAUAACAUUUUGGCUGUUUAUAUCUUCUGCAAAUCUGUCAAUCCAGGAAACUUGGCCUUCCUCCGAAGUAUUUUUUCCUUCACAGCAUUCCGAUCCACAAGCACUAGGAUCUGGCUCAUUUGAACAUGCACAAGGUUCAUUUUGGCUAGAGUAGGGAGAACAUUUGUCCUGACCAACCUGACUAGAUAUUCUCCUGUUUGACGCUAUUUUAUCAUUUACUUGGCUGAGAAUUUUGAUAACUUCUCCAAACACAGACCACCUUCCAACAGAUGUUAUCUUCACCAAAGCUGAGGUACCCAGCAUAUUUUCUGUUAGGGAUGGCAAAAAUCUCCACGGGGACGGGUACCCUCGGGGAUUUUUCCCAUUCGGGGAAGGUAUGGGGAUAAUUUCAUACCCAAUUUCUUAUUCGGGGAAGGGACGGAGAAAUUUUUUUACCCAAUUUCUUAUUCGGGGAGGGGACGGGGAUGAGGUGGAAUCCCCAUCCCCUACCCAUUUUUCCAUUUUAAUUUUUAAUUUAAUUUUUAUUUUUUAAAAUUACUAGUAAAUAAAUAAUAAAAUUUGAAUUAUAAAAUUAUAAGUAUUGGUAAAAAUAAAAAAAUAUCAAAAUAUUUAUAUUAUUAAACUUUUAGGCCUAAUUAACUAAUUAAAGUCCUAAAUUUUUAUUUAGGACAUUAAAAAGACGGGACCGAUUCUAUUAGUCGAAAACUUUUGUUUUAAUUUUAAUAUUCAUUAAAUAUUUUAAACUUAAAUCUAUUUUUUAUUUAUCUUAAAUCUAUUUUUUAUUUAUUUUUAGAUGUUAUAAUUGCCCACAACAAAUCACAAUUUUAAUAUCUAAUCUAAUCUAAUAUUUGCUCUUGAUUUGCUUCGACUUAACUAUUAUGCUGUAAAGGGAAUAAUCCACAUUUAUAAAGUGCACACGCCACCAUUGAAAAGUUAAUUUUGAAUCUAAAUUUGAUUUUAUUUGUAACAAUUUUGUAUUAGGCUAUUAAUUUGUUCAUGAUAGUUUGUAUCCCUUGCAUGUUGCGUUAUUUACUAAUUUAAUGUAUGUGACUUUUGUAAUGGAUAUUAAUGUAAGAUAUAUUUCGAACUUUACUUUUGUUUGAAUUUUUUAUUUUAAUAUGAUUAAUUCAAAAUCGAAAACAAAAAAAAAAUAUUAGUUAUUCGGGGAUCGGGGACCCUCGGGGGGAUUAACCCCCCUUUUGUUCUAUUCAGACCUAUUUCUUUUCGGUUUUUUUUUGAAGUCUUUCUCUGCUGUACCGUACAUCCGCCUUGGCCGUACAGCAGAAAAACAACAAAUUAGAAAGGAAACAAUGACUUAAUCUGGGCCCUUUUGUCUUUGUAUCUAUACAAAAUAGUCUAGCAUUCCAUAAAAUGGGAUCUUUUUUUUUUUUUUCUUAUUUAGGAUUCCCACAGAAAGAAUUCGGGGUGGGAGUAGGUAAGAGUUAGUGAGCAAUGAAAGAUACCGAUUUGAAUAUCGGUGUCGGUCCAAAUUUCAUUAACCAAUAAUCCCGCUCUAUAUGGAAUGGAGGCUCUUUGAUUCUAACCCAAAUUUUGCGGUCUUGGUCUUUUUUUAAUGAAUAAUUGUAAAUCUCUCAUGUUAUUAUUCGGGGAGGGGAUGAGGAUUCUCUUAAAUAAAUUUGACGAGGAUGG